rnacentral:lncRNA from 1 species
UAUUUUUUGUAUCUAGAUUUUUUAUAAAUUAUAGAUUAUAUUUAUUAGAUGAAAAUUUAAUUUAUGUUAUAUUAAUAUUAAAAAAUAAGCUUUGAUAUCGUGCUUUGUAAAUCUGUGUAGAUUACUAGAAUGUUGAGAAGAGAGAAUAUGAAAAAGUUGCGCCCAACUUCCCUAAAUAUGUAGUGGGAGUCAUCUUUUUUAGGUUCUCCUUUUAUAUAUUUACUAGUUAAGCGGCCCGCGCGAUAAGACGGAAAGAUAAUAUAACAGUAAAUUAUUAUAAUUAUUAACAUCACUUUUUUCCUAUUAUGCAUUAAUAUUUUUAAAUAUUAUUUAUCUUAGUAUUGACUAAUUAAAAAUUUAAAAAUAAAAUUAAAGAAUAUUUCUUUCUAAAAAUAUUUAAACCUAAUAAGUAAAAUGAAUAAAUCUCAUCAAAAUAAUACAAAAGUUCAUUACAGUAUUAAAAAAGAUGAAUAAUAUUUUUUCAUUAUCAUCUAAGGUAGAAUUUACAAAUAAAAAAAUAUUAAAAAAGUAAUUGGAGUGAAAGUACUAUCUUUGGUAUUCUUGAUGGCAACAUUUUUAUUGUGCCCUCAUUAAUUUUUAUCGUCACACAUACAACUAAUAAAGUAUUUGAUUUCUAAAUUUUAGAUUAGUGAAGAAAUCAGCAGGUAAUUAUUAGAAGCACAAAAAGUAAGAUUAAUUAAAAGGCAUACGAAAUCAAAAUAGAUAUUAUUUACACUGUAAAAAUAUUUAACUACCAAAUAAAUAUUCUAAUACUAUAUAUUAGGAAAAAAAUAAGUUCUUGUCACGCCCUGGACUUCAGCGGAAGCUCAGCAGUCACGUGCACAGACCCGCAGUGUAUACCGCAAACUUAAGUGUACACUAGACGUCUACAAUCAACAUAGCAAAAGUAUAAAUUCUUAAUCAGGUAAUCAGAACAAAACUAAAAGUUCAUAAGCUUAUACAAAUACAAAACCUUAUUACAGCUUAAAAAGUAAAGUACAUCCUAAACAGUUUCAAUCUACAUCUCUGAAUUGGACCAAAAUAAACUUGUAGAGGUUCAUCUAUUAACAUCGAGAAGGCUCUAGCUAGCCGCUGACCCCUCGCCAAGAACCCUAGCCUUUCCCAGGGUGGAAGGCUCUGUAAAAACAACAACAAAGAGGGCGUGAGAACUAUUAAACAAUAGUUCCCAGUGGGUAAGCCGCCGAGAGUGGUGAAGUACACCACUAGGUCAACUGAGGCAUGAAUAAACAACAAUAAGUAAGCAAAAUAAAUGCAACAAGUAAAUGAAGUAGUUCAACCAUAACAUGCCUCACAAGAUAUAAUUUCUAAUAUGUCUUAGAUACUAAUUCAUCAUAACAAGUUCUAUAAGUUAUGCUAAUUAUCAGUUUAAUCAGCUAUAUGUCAUGCUAUAUGCAGAAUAUCAUUACACUUUAACGAGCUAAUGACAUCAUGUAGCUACUUUCCUAUACUAGCAAGAGUGUAAACAUUCAGGUAUAGUUACUAUACUACUGACUAUCAGGGAUGUCAACCUCCUAGUAUAUUCAUUAUUAGAUAUGUUCAACUAAUGAUAUAAAGUGUCUUUACUAUUAUGUCCAUCUAAGGUUAAAGUCACUUACAUUAACCCAACUAACAGGAGACUUACACAUGGUAAAGUCCCAGCCCGUGCCGUGCCUAAUGGCCCCGUGAAAGUCAACACUACCCACGGCAAUCCACUUCGGCGCUCAGUCUCGUACAUAAGCGAGCAAUCUGUCAUAUAGGCCAACUCCGGAGUGCCGGUGUCACGCCCCGGGACCGGCGGAGGCCCUCCCGAUAGCGUGCCCAGACCCGCCAUAUGUCUACACAUAUAAGGCGUCUACAAUAAAAGCGGAAGUAAAAGCAAGUCUAGAAUAAAUAGAAGAAGUGAAAUAACUAGCAACUAAUGAUAUCAGAGCGAGUAAAGUUCUAACAUCUACACCAAAGUAAAUAAGUAAAGCUAGACAAUAAAAGAAAUCAUAAGUAGUACAAUAACUGUCUCUAGNUAUAGCCUCUAAGGUAACAAAAUCCAGUUAGGCCCCUCAAAAACCCAAAAUUACAUCAGCCCGGACUGGGCAGUUUUCGCCCAGAGGGACCGGUCUCUCCCCAGCAGAGACCGGUCUCUCGCUGCGAACCCGAAAAACCAACGUUCGGGAACCGGUCUCUCCCUACGCGGGACCGGUCUCUCACUGCGAGAACGCGCUCGGGAACCGGUCUCGACUGCCAGGGACCGGUUGCCUCAGGCUGCCACAACACUGCUCACUGGGGGAACCGGUCUCUCCUUCCAGGGACCGGUCCCCGAGAGUAAAAACUCUCAGGACUGGUCCAAAGUUCCAGAUUUCGAACUUUUCGGGUCAGGAAACAUUUUACAACCCUCCACCAAGUGUGGAAAAGCUCGAAAUACAUUCAAACACUCGAACCUCGCAAUUUGCAAAGGUCCAGUGUGUUACAGCCGGCUUGUGGGGUGCGACCCUCACAAGUAUGUGCAAAUGAGCACAUUGGCAAGCAAGCGUAAUUCAUAGUAUAGGUUCACAAGUUCAUCAUGUCUCUAACAUGGAAUCUCAACCCGACACGAGGUCGACAGUUAAUACUAAGUCAUAAUCCACUAUCAACUACUUGGUGACAUCUUUCUACCAAUAGAUAGUCUAACUUGAAUAAGUACAUGCUUUACAUCAUAUUGAUGUUUCUAAUGGGCUAUACCCGCACACUCACAUAUAAUUCUCUCACUACUCUCUAUACAUAAGGAAAGUGGUUUACUAAGUUCAUAUUCAAUGACUCAUUCUGGUGUUCAUGUAACUCUUAGCACAUAUUCUAUAGUUCUAUAUAAACCUCCACUAUCUGGAGUAAAUAAAUAUUAGGCAAGUACUUCUACUUGACUACACAGGCAUAUCCUCAUAUCCAAUUCUAGUUAUCUAACUAGAUCGUAUUCACUAGUAUAACAUUCAUGUUAUGUUAUAAUACCCAGUUCUAGUUACUUGACUAGAUCAUAUAUUUAAGAACAUGAAAUUCAUGCUAUCUCUAUUCUGUGAAAGCAAUAACCAACUUGUAUAUACAAAUAUGCGAAACAUUCUCUACCAUACUCUUAACAUGAUUUUUAUGUAAACGUAUUAGUAUGUAACUUCACUAUACAUGAUAUGCUAAGAGUUCCGUCAUCAUGUCUACAACAUGGAAUUGCAUGAAUUUAACUCAAAGAUAAACCACUAUAAUGCAUCGUUUACUUAGUUAUACAUCUAAACUAAGUGCCGUAAUCAUAGCUUUAUAUUCAUUCAUUCGUGGCUGAUGUCCUACUUAACUUGUCUACACAAGUAUACUAAUAUUAUAUGAUGCAUGUUAAACAAGCAAGUGAUCUAUGUAUGCAAAGCUAUUUCAUAAUUCUCCCCUACUACAUAGACUCUUCCUUUUAUCCGAUAUAAUAUGUAGAUUUAUGCAUACACCAAUCCAUUCCUCUAUAUAUAUUCACAUGAAUAUGCAACAAUUUCACUUUUAUAAUGUCAAAUAAGACAUAGAGGGAAUUCACCCAUUUCGGUAAAGUCAAACCCACCAAUUAGUCGAUGAUUCUCGUUGAUUUCACAAACGUAGGUAAUCCAAAGUCUCCAAACAACCUAGCAAUGAUUCUAAAAUCAGCUAGGAGCUUACCUUCAAUCUCUACAUGUAAAUCUCACAUAAUCACAUAAUUUAGGCUAGAAUCUUACCUAGUAUAGUAUCAAGGCUUACAUCCUCACUUCGGUUCAAGUUGGAACACCAAAACCAACCUUCGAAAGCUCCCAAAUCUCGGCCAAAAGGGAUCUAAUACCCUGCUGCAAACAUACACCAUAAACUCCUUUAUAACUACUACUAACACAUUAAAACUAGAAAGAGGUUAGGUAGCUCACCAUGUGCAGCUCCAACUCAGGUUGGAGAACAUUAAAACCAAUCUAUAAGGAUCACUAAAACUCAGCCAAGAUAGUUCACAAACCUGCUGUGAACAUAUACCAAAACAGCAUCACUAGUAUCACCAAUAUAACUAAUACAGUCUCAAAAUAGAGAGAGUAGUUAAUUAAUCACCUUCCCAAAGCUUUAAUUCAGCUUUCCUCUGAUUAAGGGUUGAAGAAUUAUAGCUAAAACACCUUCUCUGCCAUUGCUACAAACUUCCCUAACUCUGCUAGCAGUAAGGAAGUAAAACACAAGCUCAAACUCUCUACUAUAGCAUCAAACUAGGGAGAAAAGUUGGCUAGUCACCUUGUACAGCUUCAACUCAGUUUCUACUGAGUUAGGGUUGAAGAAACACAACAAAACUUCACUUCCCACGCACCAGGAGCUGCCCCCCAAGUCCUCAGAUUAACUAGCAAUCAAAGAGAGGGAGAAAACAAGCUCAAAUCACUACUUGUUAUUCAAACUUGCUCCAAAACCUUAGAGAGAAAAAGAGGAGGUUCUUACCCUGUUCCUCAGCUCAAUCAGGAUAAGAACCAGCUGGGGGAGUCGUCCAGAAGCUUAAAAGGAUAAGCUUUGAGGUGAAAUUACCAAUAAACCCUUUAAUCCACGCAGCUGCUGUGCUGGGUACCGGUACUUGGGCAUGUUCGUACCGGUACUCAGUGCAAAAUACAGAUUUCGCAUUUUGCAAUGCACUUUCGCUCUUCCGGCCAGUUGUUCGCUCUAGUAACUUGCCGAAAACCUCUCAAUAACCCUUCAAAAGACGUAGAAUAGUUUCAAUUACUAUUCUAACACUCUAACUUCGCAACUUGCCAAAAUUCAGUGUACUACAGUUCUAUAGCUCAUAAUUAAGAUUAAUAGCAUACAAAUUAACAAAAUAUCACUCACAUGAACUAAAAAAUAUAAUUUAACUAGAGAAAAAACUAAUAGUAAAAAAUCAUGCAAGAAAAAGAAAACCAAAAGUUGAAUUCUCUCAUUUCAAAACAGUAAUUUGUUAAUUUUGAAAAAAAUAAAAAAAUUAUUUACAUUAUCAAUCAAGCAUCAUGAGUCAAUAGUCAUAAUUUUAAGAGCCUUAAUUCAUAUUUGAAUAUGUGAAUACCCUAAUAUAGAAAAGACAAUUAUAUUGCUAAAGUAGUAGAAAAUAGUCAUUAGAUACAACUCGGUAAUAGCCCAUUAUCUUGCAUCUCCUCUUAUGGAGCAAAGCAUUUGAGAUAAUUAAAAAAAAAUAGUAAGCCAAUUUGACAGCUCAAAGCUAGUUGUCCUAAUUUGUCUAAAUUUUAAUUAAAAUUUAAAUUACAUAUUUAAAUUUAAAAUUCAUAUUCAAAUUUUGAAUGNUGUGAAUACCCUAAUAUAGAAAAGACAAUUAUAUUUUUAAAAUUCAUAUUCAAAUUUUGAAUGCAAAUUCAAAUAUCAAAAUCAAAAUAAAAAAUUUUAAGUUUGAAAUCAAAAUUUUGAUUCAAUUUAAAAUUUGAAUUUCAAUUCAAAUUCAAACUUUAAAUUCAAAUUCGAAAUUAUAAUUUCUAAUUAGUUUAAAAUUUAAAUUUUAAUAUAUUUCCGAAAUUAAAUUCAAAAAUAUAAAUUUUUAUUUUUGGGACUAAAGUAAAAAAUAUGCAAAUUUUAGAGAUCAAAAUUGACAUGGAAAAGAAAAUCAAGUAGGCGCUGACGUGGCAAUUUUGUUAAUUUUAACAUCACUUUUAAUGUUUAGGAUGUAAUCGCAAUGAAAUCAAGAGGGUUGAAAACUUGAUUGCAAAAUUAGGAACUAAAGUAAAAAAUGGUGCAAAAGUUGGGACUAAUGAUGCAAUUAGCCAUUAAUAAAAAUAUAUGCGGCCCCACAAGCCCUCCAAAAUAAGGAGAAGCCUUUUUUAUAAUAUUAAUUCCGAAUUUAAAUUAAACAAUUUAAAUGUUUAUUUUUAAGGAUUAAAGUAAAAAAUGUGCAAAGUUUAGGCACGAAAAUUGACAUGCAGAAUAAAAUCAAGUAGGCACUAACAUGACAAUUUUGUUAAUUUUAACACAUCUUUUAAUAGUUCCAUUAAAAAAAGGAUUAGGAACCAAAAUGAAAAAAUAGUAAAAAUGUUGGAGCCAAAAACAAUUAGGGACCAAAAUAAAAAAUAGUGAAAAAGUUGGGACCAAUAUGCAAUUAAUCCUUUAAAAAAAUAUGUGGGCCCCACAACCUUCCCGAAAUAAGAGGAGACAUUAUGUGGAUUCCCAAUUAGUGUAUUGAUAAAUAAAAUCUACCCACGAACCUAGAUGAAACAUUAGCACUUUUAAAGUCUAUUGUGCUCAUAGGGUUUCUCCUGCUACUAGUAUAUUACACAACACCGGCCAAAGCAAUUGCGUAAUUUAAUCAUGAUUAAUUUUAUCUCCAAAACUCAUAAUUUCCAAAGUUCUUGCAUAAAAGUCAAAAGCCCAUAAGGAGAUUGACACCAUGCGCAGUAGAGCACUAUGUCAUGGACUUAAGCAAAAUCGCUCGUCUAGCUCGUGCGGCGCUGUUCGCCUUCCUUUGCGAAGUGAGCAAGCCUACCACUCUACUUGCUAAAGUCAAAAUCUACUCACCCUAAGACUAAGUACAAGAGAGAGAGAGUUUGAGAAAAAUUAUAUAUUGAUUGAAGUUUAGAGUACAACUGAUUUCCUAAGAAGAGAGGGUGGAGGUCACAUCCUUUUAUAGGUCACUAGCCACUCAGGCUACAAAUGAAAAGACGCCAAGUGGCAUAUAAUUAUAAGGCAAAAGAGAGAUGCCACAAGUGUAAGAAAAUCAUGAGUACGCAGGGGAAGAAAAUAACAUAAUUAAAAUUUUCUAAAACCAAAGAUCAUCUCGUGUUUCGCUUUAGAUCAUUAAUAAUAUAUCUAAUUGAUCUAAUCAAAUAGGAUCUAGUUUUUUUUUUAUCUUACGCGGGUCGAGAUCACUAGAAGUCGACAAUCGCUAGUAAAAAUUGUUCAUCCUCGCUUAGCCACGCACGCACCCGGCUUCUACUUGCGUCCACACGAAAUCACGCCCUUGAUCAAAUUAGACGACCACUUCGAUCCGUGAUCCGAUCACAAAUUAACUCUUGCGUCGAUUUGAGGAAGAUGAAUCAAUCUUCUAGAUGUGCUAGCAACCUUUUGAAGAUCGAAAUCGAUAGAUUAAUUGUGGAGAACUUGAGGAAGAGAGAGAUGAUUCACGGUUAGGGCUUUCUAUUUCUCUUGUAUUAAUUUUAAUAUGUCAUAUGACAUAUAUUUAUAAUGAAAAAACUCUAAGCCUAAUCCUAAUCCUAAUUGAAAUUCUAGUCCGAUUGGAUUAUCCAUUUACUCACAAGUUGGUUAUAAUAUUAACCGAAUCCGAAUUCUAAUUCUAAUUUGAUUUAUAUGUAACAUUUACACGUAAGUCCUCAUAUUAUUUACUAACGAUUAGUAAAUACACCAUACAACUUUUACACAUAAAUAUCUCUAAUUUACAAUAAUUGCAAAUUAGUCCUUUUACUAAUAAAUUAGUAAACAUUAGUAUUUAACUAUAUCAUAAUUAUAAUUAACCCAUCCGAUAAACUUCUUUUAUCGUCUCCUUAACAUCGAUCAUGCGUGAUUUCUUAUGUGUGUGACCUAAUAGGUUCAAUUUUGUCUGGUAGUGAGAUAUGAUGUGAUCUCUAUCUACAUCAUCAUCGAAACUCCUUUCGAUUGCUCAAACUCUUUUGAUUCCACUCUUACAGAAUAAUUAAUUAUUUAUAAUUAUUUCUAUUAGUUCCCACAAUCCACUAAUGACGCUUAGCAGCAUAUAGUGGCAAUCCAGUCAGAAGUGAAUAUCGGACUGAACCUCUAGGUGCAGUUACCGUACAAUACAAUCCUUCUAUCGCAUAGUCCCGACUGAGUGGAGGUCAUGGAAUACUCGUCAAACCCCAUCAUCCAUCAUAUGACAAAUUUGAUAGGACAUAAGCUCUUAUGGUUACUCUUGGAAACCUCUUUCCAUACACCAUAUUACCCAGGCUGAGAAUUUCUGAGCUUUGCCUUACAAAUAGCAUAGAACUAAUUAUCUCUCUACUAAGAGCGAUAGAUUCCCUAUAAACACACACCCAUUCCUGAUAUAAACCGACUGCAGCCAACAUAUACUACUAAGACCCAUGGCUAGGAUCAGAGUUUGUUGCAUAGUCAAAACUACAGUAGCCUCACAUUGAAUGGCCGUGGUGUCGCAGGUCUAAGGAUCAGUUGUACCACUGCAACAUUGAACCAGUUACUGACGAAUGAGUAGACAUCCAUGUAACUAUUCGUAGUUGGUCACGCUCAGUACCAUUGUUCUCCAACAACCACCUGCAUGUUCACUCCAAUGUCCCCACACUGAUGACUCGAGAUUCAUCAUCCCAAAAGAGAAGCGACACACACAUCAAUCUUACCGGAUCAAUCAUUGUCCCCAUGAUGAUCCACCGAUUGAGAGCAUUUAGGAAUUAAUUACCAACAAUAUGUAUCUCAAAUUCUCAACUCUUGAGAAUACAUAUUAUCAUCUUAUUAAUUCAAAGGAUGAUUCACGGACAUAUUAAAUAUGAAUGGAAUUAAAGACCCAAUCUAUAAAUAAUAAAAAUUAAGUACAAAUAUAUGUCCCAUAGAAAAUAAAAUGCGUCAGCCUGAUAGACUUCUAGGGCAUACAACUAACAAUCUCCCACUUGCAUUAAAGUCAAUCAGCCAUGUAUCUAAUGCCCAUCUUCUCAAGAUAAGUCUCAAGUUCUGCUGAGUCAAUGCCUUAGUUAGCGGGCCCGCCAUAUUAUCUGUGAGGCAACCUUCUAUACUUUAAUAUAAUUUAUCCUUGAUGUACUCUUUGAUCUUGUGAUACCACCGCUCAAUGUGCUUGGAUUUCUGAUGAGGCCUUGGCUUCUUAGCUAAUGCUACAGCGCCAUUAUUAUCACAGUAUCGUGGCAGGGGAUCCUUACUUGAAGGAACCACGCCAAGCAUAUGACAAAUUUCUUGAUCCAAACAGCUUCCUUGGCAGCUUCAAAUGCAGCGAUGUACUCCGCUUCCAUAGUAGAAUCUACGAUCGUCUCUUGCUUUGAACUUUUCCAAAUAAUUGACCCACCAUUGCAAAUAAACAGAUAUCCAGACGUAGACAUUCUAUAGUCUAUAUCAGACAUAAUGUUUGAAUCCGUAUAGCCAUUAAUUCUGAGUUCUCCUCCUCCAAAAAUCAAAAACAUAUCCUUCUUCUUCCUAAGUACUUAAGGAUAUUCUUUGCCGCUACCCAAUGUUCCUCUCCUGGGUUCGACUGAUAUCGGCUAGUGAUACUCACAGCCUGUGCUAUAUCGGGUCGAGUACAUAGCAUACAUUAAACUCCCUAUUGCUAAAGCAUAAGGGAUCCUACUCAUGCGACUUUUCUCUUCAGGUGUUUUAAGAGACAUAGUCUUAGAGAGGUGAAUUCUAUGUCUUAGAGGUACCAUACCCCUUUUAUAUCUUAGAGAUAAAAGGUCUAUCCCUAUAGACCUUUUAUCUCUAAGAUAUAAGAUGCUUCUCCAAGGUCUUUCAUAGAAAACUCUUUAGAUAACCAUAACUUGACCGAUGUUAGCAUAGGAAUGUCAUUUACAAUUAGGAGUAUGUCAUCCACGUACAGUACGAGAAAAGUAACAGCACACCCACUAAUCUUUUGAUAUAUACACGGCUUUUCCUCAUUUCUGAUGAAAUCGAACGAUUCGAUUGCAUCGUUAAAACGAGUGUUCCAACUCCGAGAAGCUUACUUCAAUCCAUAAAUUGAUCGUUAAAGCUUGCACACCUUAUGACUCCCAUCUUUGGAAGUGGAACCCAAAGGCUGCUCUAUAUAGAUAUCUUUUUCAAGAUAUCUAUUUAGGAAAGCAAUUUUCAUAACCAUUUGUCAGAUCUCAUAGUCAUAGUGUGCAGCAAUAGCAAGCAGAGUUCUGAUAGACUUAAAUAUGGCUACAGGUGAAAAGGUAUCCUGAUAGUCAAUGCCUUUGCGUUGACUAUAACCUUUUGCUACUAGCCUAGCUUUGUAGGUCUCUAUCUUUCCAUCAGAACCAAUCUUUCUCUUGAAUAUUGUGAUGCCUACCCCUUCUCCAUGAUUGCUGAUGAAAUCAACGGUUUGGACCUUCUGACCUUUAACUAGUUCGUUCGUCGAAUUGACGUGUACUAGAAUCGGAUUGACACAGUUUUGGUGUCAGGUCUCUGUUGAUGUAUACAUCGUAUGCGAUUGUACUAACACCUAAAUUGGUGUGUUGUGGGUUAGUCUGUGGUUGGUGAUAAGAUUCGUCUUGGCUCGAGACACUCCAGGGUAUUGUCGGAGUUCUCGGAGCUUUGAGUAUAGCUCGGUUAUGGUGCGAAAAUCGGUUAGAGAAACUAUUUCCUAAAGCCUCAGUUUGUGUGAUUCACGGCUUAGUGUCGCUUGUAGCUUUUGAAUGUUGAAAGCUAUGGGACUCCCAGAGAGUCGGUUCAGGGUCGAUCUGAUUAUGAAUGUCGGCUUGCAAAGUCGAUGUUUCGACGGUUUGGUUGUGAACUUUUGGUUCAGUGAAGAGGUAUCAGGUCGCUUGAUACUUCGAUGUGUCGUGCUUCCAACUCGUUGUUGGGAGUGAAUCUUCGGGUAUUUCGCUUUUCUUUUGAUAAGUACAUUGGCUGCAGACAAUGUACUGUCGAAAGUUGGGACGAAAUACCCUCUUUCCCCGUUCGGACUUUUGGAUUGGGUCGAUGUGUUCUCUAGAUUGUCUGGUGGGAAAGCUUGAGUGAUGCUGAUUUUUGACCAUGUAGUGAGCCUUGGAUUAUUCCCUGGCAGGUUCUGCUCAGUUGAUUUAUCAUCACUGCUGAUGGUUUUGACUCUGGCUCUAGUCUGGAUGUUCGUAGCUCUUUAGUUGUGCCUUCCACAGCUAAAAGAUUUGUUUGGUUUGUAGUCUCGGUCUGUUGCCGGGAGGUUCUGAAUGACAGAUGUUGAGUGACUUGAGCCUGAUUGUUGGCUUUGAUUGUCACCGUAUGUGAUAGCGUAUAUGUCACGCCCCGGAGUCCGAUGCCAAUUUGGCCCGACCCGAGCACGUCAAACAGACGCCGAACGGACAGAGUUUCCCCUAUCCGCCCAAGGCUCAUCACAUGCACAUUUUCAUCAAUAGAGAAAAGCACUAGCGGAAACAUACACAACGGCUUACACGAGGGUAAGNAGGGACCGGUCUCCGAGAGCUCUCCCAGCGCGGCUAGAGCUGCUGCGCGCGAUGCAUCCGGUCUCUCCUAGGGGGACCGGUCUCUGGGGGACCGGUCUCUCAGACAGAGACCGGUUCCCGAGAGCUGUCCUUCCACGACUUAGCCGAUUUUUCGACUAUCUCAUUCUGCACGCGUUCGGGGACCGGUCUCUCCCACCAGGGACCGGUCCCCGAGAGCUCAAAAACUGCAGUUUUGCAGAAUUUGAUUCUCUAGCUCUCGAAAACCUCCCGUAACUCACUUUCGAUCAUUUUAACACCUUCGGCUUUCCGAAGUGUACCGUCCUCGCACUUUGGUCAAUUUGACUAAAGUUCGAUACUUUUAUUUUUCCGAAUUUUCGGUAUAUUACAGUAUAGGGUUUGCGACUCGACUUAUCGUGCAAACCUUGGAAUUGUAUACUUGUCCGAUUAAUUGGUGACAAGUGCGCCGGGGUCUCAUUGAGACAGGUAAUUGGGUGUUGCUGAGAACGUCGAUCGCUAGGGUCCCUUGUAGGACGACAGCGACAGGGUCUCGUAGAGACAGGUGUUGAGCAUCACCGAUGGUUAAUAUCGCAUAGUGCGAUUGGUAAUCCUGUGCACCAAGGGUUGGACUUGCAGAGAGCAUAUGGUGGUUUGUUUGCACCGUAUUAUGUCAUUGAGUGGACAAAUUGUCCAACUCAAUUGGUAUUGUCAGCCUCAAACCUUUUGGUCAGGUAGAAAGUGAGGUCUUGGACCUAGGACGGUAGAUGCCGCAGGUGACUUUCUGUUGAUGGAGGUUCCACUUUGGUAGUUGUGUGGUAACUGGUGGGAGACUGUGGUCUCCGAGGUGAGUGCUUUUGACUCAGGUUUUAGAACAACGUUUCGUUUUCGCUCGUGGUGAGCAGGUUGCCGUUGUUUGGCUAGUCGGAGUGUGUCUUUUCGGCCUAUGAGAAUACACUCCAUACUUGUGGUGUCGUCCCGUGACUUCUCUACGUGGACGUUCGACGUAGUCAAGUCGGUUACUGCUACGCGGACCAAGGUUGAUUGGGCCUAGAGUUUCUGAGUGGUGAAUUAUUAUCUUAGAAUUAGCAUUUUGGGAUCAUAUAAUCCUGGUCGCGGGACUGUUUUUGUCCGCAGGUUAUAGGAUGGUGUUGAUCUCGAUGAGUAUGGUCCGUAGAUUUUGAGUUGGUAUGUCUUCCCUCGUCUAAUCCGAGUGGAACCGCAGUUCUAUUCUCCCCAUCUUUCAGAGGUUCAUCUGUCCAGAUUCAUGAAAAUGUAAUUGACCAGUACUCAAAGGUGAUACCGCAGUGGUGGAGUAAUAUCCGAAUUCGUUUUCGAUGGAUACGUGGUCAAGUUUCGGGGACGAAACUUCUUUUAAGGGGGGAAUAAUGUAAGGACUGGGAUUUUCGCAGUGUAGCUAAAGUCUUUGUUGAUGAUGUUUUUAUGUGUAAUUUAAUUAUAUAAGUACUCGUCAAGUUUCAAGAGAAAACGAGUUAAAAUGGAGAAGUUACGCGAUCAAUACUAAUGACUUAAGUGAAUAGUAACUCCGAUUUUCCGGAGAAGCCAAUGAAUAGAGUUGGCUUCUGGCGCGUAUCGGACUCCGUUCAUAGCGAUCCAAUAGCUCGUUUUGAACAGUUCAGCUAUUCUGGAACUAAUGGCGCUGACGGAUUUCAAAUAUGGUGCUCGGUUUUCGAGAAAAAGGGGUUUAAUCGGAUUUUAUAUAUGGUAUAUAUAUGUGUCUUUUAGUGGAAACAAAGAGGGUUGAUUUCAUCAUAAAUCGGAGACCAAAUCGAGCGAAAAAAAAUGCUAGAUUCGAUGUCCCAGUUAUGCUGAACGCGCUGGCGUAGUCCGUUUGAAAAUCCGACGGACGGAUCGCUAGAUAUUGUACAUUUUCCGAGGUGAGGUCAAAACGGUAUUUUUGUAUAUCACGCGAAACCCCUUAUAUUUUAUAUACCGAAUUGCGUGGGAUUGAACGUGGAGAUGCGUACACGUGAAAUACACGCACCGUGGGGGACUGGAAUGAAAAUAUUUAUCUUUGGAGGACUUUUCUGCAAUAAGAUACAUGUUAUAUAGUGUUGUAAUAGGGUUUCAUGCAUGAAACCCUAGAUCUUGGACCUCUUUUGGCUCAGCUGUGCCCUAGCUGUCGCCAGCAUCAUCCAGGGCCUUCACCGCGCACGCCCCCGACCGUCGGCAAGCGCUCCGGCUGCCGGAAAAGCUUAACUUGGCCUCUCCUUCACCUUCUCCUCUAUCUAACCACCACUAACCUCCUCCAUCUCUGCCCGUGGACCACCAGGGAGAUCAUCACCCUUGGGCCCCCCUCCCUGGGCCAUACCCUACCUCCGGCGACUGCCGGCGUGCCGUCGUCGCCGGCCCCGCGCGCAGCUACUGCUGCCUUGGCAGCCUGCGGCCUAGCUGGCCGAGCUCGGGCCGAGACCAGGCUGCUGCUGGCCUGCGCGCCGCCGCCGCCUUGUGACGGCCGUGCGCCUCCCUCCGGCCUCCAGCCGGCUACCGCACACGAUUGGCGUGGUCGCCACCGCCGCCGCGCGCGCUCUGGGUGCCGCCGGGGCUAGUUUCUGGUCGAGUCGAGCUCGGGUGGCCGAACCUUGCUCGCUCACUGUCGCCGCCGUCGGCCGGAGCCACCACUCCCCUCCUCGUGACCCCGGAGGAGCACCGCGGCCACCCCACGGCUGCUCAAGCUCCGCCAUGGCCAGAGUUGGUGGCUCGAGCUCCUCCCAAACCCGUGCGGGCCCAGUCUCCCCCCACGGGGCCACCGCCGCCUUCCGCUGCCAGCCGACGUGAGCACCGGCUCCGCCUGGCCGACCGCACUCGUCCGACGCCGGCUCCCGGCCGCUGGAGCUCCCUGCCGGCCGGAUCUGGAUCAUGCUCUCCUCGGGUAGCUUUGGCUAGGGCAUCAUUGCCGGCCACCACCACCACCUCCCGUUGCCAGACUACGUGCGCCCCGACCUUCCCUUGUCGGCCAUAACCUCCCUCUACCGAUGCGCCCGCCGUCCUGCCGCCGUCGGCCAACCGUGUUCCUCCAAGCUCCAGUAAGCCUAGUUUAGGUUUUCCUGCACAUCGUUUGGAGUUCCGAUCACUUUUUCGGUGAUCCGAGGACACUCUGAUAGGCACGGAAGUGAGUACGAUCAUCUUUAAUUCGUGCUAAACAUCAUGCUCACCUCCAUUGGGGUCAACGGUGCCCCGAUUUAUGCGUUAGAAGCAUUCUUCUCUCUGUGCGCGUUGUUUCGCUGAUCGUCGCGUCGCUCAUACACUUGCCACAGGGGCCGGCAGUGCUCCGAAAGGUGAGCACGACCUCCGACACACUGAGACCUAUCAGCAUGUGUCUCGGCUUGGCUGAUUGACCAUCGGUUUGCACUGUCGGGCUAUAAAACCCCGAAAAUCGCAUGAAAUAAUGCGAUUUCUUGUAAUCGGGAGGCUUUUUAUGGAGUUGUUUAUGUUGUGGUCGCUGUUGGCAGUGUGUGCCGGCUGUGGGUGACCUCUGGACUGAUUGUCCCAGGCCCCAAGUCCUUGCGGGAAUCAAAAAUAGAUUUUCGGUGCACUUUUCGACGAAAUCCGCCGAUGGAACGCGUUUUCAGUUCGAAAUUCUUCCGACAGUGCUCGUGAUGAUUUGUGACGUCGCUGAGCCUUAUUGGCUGGUCACCCACAUCGUUUCUAGGGUCUGAAAACGAUAGGUGAGCGAUGGUGGGUUCCGGUGUCCAAUUGGACACUUCUGGGAACCCGGAUCGGAACGAUUAUCUGACAAUAAUCGUUUCAGAGUGAGUUAAUGUCUUUGCUGCCAAGUCACAUGUAUAUAUGUGUUUAGUGGCAGCGGGUGACUCGUGGUACGAGUCGGUGUGUUUCGGGACAGUUCAUGGGUCCCGGCGGAGUCCCAGUGUGAUUUUCAGGACUUCCGGCGAGUUACGGUAGUCGGUUUGGGAAACUGAUCUCCGUGGGAUUGUUCAUAGAGUUGUGAUUUCAAUGGUUAUUAAUUGUGGGUUAAAUGCUAACCAGGUGGACCCUCCGUAGGUCUGGUUGACGUUCUUUCGCGGUCAGGAGACAGGCGCGAUAUUUUUUUACAGGUGGGUAUUUCGAUCCGAAGUCGGUACAGUGGUGCACGCUCGGUGAUAUCCUCUUACCCUUACUCUUUGGUUAUUACUACUGCAUAGUACAUAUAUUGAGCCUUGCACCCUUGUUUAUCAGUUAUACUCUACUCGUUGUUUGCAUAUUUAGUAUCCUGAGUAGGAGUAAAGUAGCUUUAUCUACAUAUGAUAUCUGUUGACCUAGUUUGUCGGUUGUUACAUUCAGUAUCAUUGACCUGGUUGGUCGGUUGUUGCAUUCAGUAUCUGUGACUUGAUUGGUCGAUUGUUGUAUCUCGUAUCUGCAACCUAUUCGGUCGGUUCCUUGACUUUUGUCGUUCGAUGACCGUUGAGGCCGGUAUACCUUGAGGGGUGGGAUUGUCGGUUAGCUGCCGACGGUUGAUUAUAGUUUGCUCAGAUCCACUGUUGGAUAUGUUUGCUACUUAGUUAGUCAGUUCGUGACUUUCAUUGUGUGAUGACCUAUACGGUCGGUAUACCCUGAGGGGUAAGAUUGUCGGCUAGUGGGUGACGGUAGUUCUGGAUUAUACACUCUGGUGACUUGUUGGUCAGUUCUUGAGUAUACAUUUAGUUGACAUUGAGCAGUAUUGGCAUACAUUUGAGAGGAUGUCGAGUUGUUCCAUCCUAGUUGACCUGAGUGGUCUAUUCUUGUGCUUCAUUACAGUUUGAUGACCUAUUGGCCUGUUUACCCCGAGGGGCGGUGAUUUUCGGCUGGUUGCCGACGGUUGGCUAUUGAGCAUAUCAGCAUUGAUUGCCCGAGACUUGUUCACAUUUCAUAUACACCAGCGAUUUGGCCACCGCAAGAGGGUGUUCUUUUCCGAAAAGGUGGUCGUACGUCCGACCCGUGAGCCCGGCGACUAGUAUCGGGUUAUAUGCAGCCUAUGAGCCCAGGGGUCAGAACUGGGUGCCCAGCGGUCAGAACUGGGUUAUAUGCAGGUAGAGUGGCAGUGUGCACACGCUUGAGGUCUGCGGACCGAUAUAUCAGAUUUCAGAUUGGGUAUUUUGGACUACUCGUCCGGUUGAUGCAUAUGACUAUAAUAGCAGUUUUUGCAUAUAUACUUACAGUUCUUUCCUUACACUUGCCUUGCUACUAUAGUUUUGAUACCCAGGUAUAUAUUCAGUUCUUCUUUCAGUAGCGGUAGACAUAUACUCUGUUAUUGUUCUACUUCCUUCUCGUUUAUAGUUAUUGUAUUUGUUAUAUCUGCUCAUGACCUUAUUUAUCUUUUCCUGAUCCGGUGAGUACUCCUCACCUUCGUCUGCUUGCGGUACUCACUGGAAGGGGAGACAUGUUUACAUAUUCUCACCUCCCCCACCAUUUUUCAAGUAUUGCAGGCGGUGACGGUCGAGACGAGAUGUGAGACAUGUUCGUAGCGGUCGAUAGAGCUUCCGACCCGGUUUGUUCGGUUUAGUUGUUAUCCCCUUUAUUUCUGUUGAUAUAACUUAGACAGCUAAUAUGGUUCAGUAUUUUAUUAUGUUUUAAUAUUCAAGAUUUCAGUUGGUUUUCUGAAUUUAAUAAAGAUUCGUGGAUUUUUGUAAAAUGGAAAGAUUUUCUAUCCCUCGUGGUAGUGAGUUUCAAAAAGAAAAAGGUUUCCGUCUGGGAAACAGUUUUAAAGGGCUUUCUCGUGGUUUUUGUAACUUAGUACUUCAAAACCAGUUUUCGGGUAGGAAACGUUUUAACUAAUAGUUGUGGUUUUAUAUUUAAACACUGAAUGGUAAAUCUGUGGUGAAUGGUGAAUGAAUGUUGAAUGUUGUAUAUUUAUUAUGGUGGUUGUACUCUGUUUGGACAUCUUGUACUUGUGCGACGCCGUGCAAAUAUAGGGGAGACUCCGUCCGUGUGAACAGUAGAUUCCUUAUAUUUGUGGCGGAUCUAGCAUACCCUGGGGAGUCAGGUUUAAAAAAAAAAAAAAAUUUAGGGCACUUCUGCUGUAUUUUCAAAAUAAAAGGGACCCCGGGGCGUGACAAAUAUCCAUUUACAUCCAAUGGGUACAAUACCUUCCGUUGGAUCAACCAAAGUUCAUACUUGAUUAAAGAACAUUGAGUCAAUUUCGGACUUCAUAGCUUCUAACUAUUUAUUGGAGUCGAUGUCUGACAUCGCUUCGCUAUAAGUCUUAGGAUCAUCUCUAUGGUCCUUUUAUCCCAUUAGAAAUAUUUUGUUCAUCUUCUCUAUAAAUAAUCCCACAUAUCUAUCAAGAGGAUGGGAGACCCUACUAGACUUGCGAGACGGCGAUGUAACCUCUAGUGUCACAGGGUUAUCAGAGAGGGCUCUUGGAAUAUUCGAUCCUAAAGAGACUUUCUCCUCUAGCUCCAUGUUUCUCCCACUACCUCCAACCAAAAUAAAUUCAUUUUCAAGAAAGAAGGCAUGACGACUCACAAUCAUAUUAUAGCCUUCUGGGAGAUAAAAAUAGUAUCCAAGUGAUUUUUUGAGAUGCUCAAUGAAUCUACUCUUGACUGAUUUGCUUUCCAACUUGUCAGUCUUUAAUUUCUUAAUAUAAGCUAGACACACCCAGGUCUUAAUAUAAGUAAAACUUGGCUUCCUACCAUGCCACAUCUCAUAUGGUGUGGUCGGAACAGAUUUGGAAGACACCCUGUUCAGAAUAUAAAUAGCUAUAAGAAGUGUGUAACCCCAAAGCGACAUAAGGAAAUCCGUAAAGCUAAUCAUAGAUCGAAGCAUAUCCAAUAAAGUUUGAUUCCUCAGUUCAGACACCCCAUUCAAUUCUGGUGUUCCGGGAGGAGUCCAUUGAGAGACAAUACCAUUAUCUUUGAGGUAGGUUAAGAAAUCCAUACUAAGGUAUUCCCCUCCUCGAUCUGAUCAAAGAGCAUUAAUUGGUUUCUCCAUUUGCUUUUCUACUUCUUGUCUAAACUCUUUAAACUUUUCAAGGGUUUCAGAAUUGUGUUUAAUUAAGCACACAUACCUAUACCGUGAAAAUCAUCAGUAAAGAUAAUAAAGUAGAGAUAGCCACCCCAUGCAGACACAUCGAAUGGUUCACAUGCAUUAGUAUGUAUUAGAGCAAGUACUUCAGUAGCUCUCUCUCCUUGUACAACAAAGAGAGACUUAGUCAUUUUUCCUUGAAGACAUAAUUCACAAGCUGGGUAUGAUUCAGAGGGUAAGGACCCUAAGACAUCAUUCUUAGCCAACUUGUUAAUCCUAUCCUUUCCAAUGUGACCAAGUCUAAGAUGCCACAAGAACAUUUUAUUUACCUCCUCUCUUGGUCUUUUGAAACUAAUGAUAUUUUCAUUCAUGCCAUUAUAACCUGUAUUAACACUAACAUCCAUAUGUAAGUGAUAGAGAUUGUCUAUUAAAGAACCAUAACCUAUCAAAUUAUUUCUCAAAUAAAUUGAACAAACGUUUGAUUAAAAAAUAAACUUAUAACCGUCCAGUACAAAACGUGAAACAGAAAUAGUGUUUCUAGUCGCACUAGGAAUAUAAAGACAAUCUCUAAGUUCUAAUACUACUCCUGUCGGCAGACAUAAAUGAUAAAUCCCCACGACAAUUAUAGCACACUGAACUUUAGCAAAUUGCAAGGUUCUAGUGUUCGAAUAGUGUUUAGUACUAUUGCUGGAGUGUUUGUGGGUCGUUGAUUGUGUUCCGACCUAUUUACUCGCGUCAUAAGGAGCAAGGGUGAGUACUUAGCACCAAAAACUCUAAACUGUAGGUUUUGGGGUGCUGGGUACCGGUACCAGAGGGAGGUACCGGAACCCCGUCGCGUAACCGAGAGGGGUGCUCUCGUGUUUGGGCUCUGCGAGGCAAAGUACCGGUACUGCAUUGCCCGAGUACCGGUACUGGUGCCUAGUACCGGCACUGCAUCGCGCAGGUACCGGUACCCUGCAAUCUGUCUGAUUGACAGAGGCUCGGGUUUGCGCUUUUGGUCGCGGGGUACCGGUACUCCAGCCCGCGCACCGGUAUGCAGUGCAGCUGCAAGCUGCAUAUUUUUUAGGGGCCUUUUUGGGAUUGUUACAUCUCCAUAAAUAACCCUCCACCCCUUUGAGGGGCUUUUUGUGCUGGGAACCUGAGGAGAAAGAGGUGAGUCUCCUCCUUAACCUCUCUCUAGAUUUCAACUCUUUUCUUGUGAGAUUUCUUGGAUUAAUCCCCUCUUUUUGCUUCUUCUUCAUGGGGGUUGCUAUUUGGACCUUGGAGAAGUUUUGGAAUCGAAGAUUUGAGCUUGUUUGAGGAAAGAACUCCAACCCUAGCACCAUUCUAGCUUGGUUUGGAGCUUAAAGAGAGAUUAGUAGUUUUGAUCUCUUCUUUGGAUCAUGUUUUGUUGGAUUUUUUGGAGAUGAAAACCUAGUUUUGGAAAUUAGGGUUUCUUUUGGGGUUUUUCUUGGUAGAGCCUUAGGGGCUUAAUUGAUGGUUCUUAUGCCUUCGUUUAGGUUGAAUUAGAAGUGUUCUAGCUCUCUUUUGGAGUUUGGAAGAGUUCUUCACGACAUAAGGUAAUUUUCUACCUAUUUAUUGGUUGAAUUUUGUGGAUCUUGUGUGGUGUUCGUUCGAAACCCCUAACCCUCUUAGAAUUUUUGUUAAGGAGCUAGGAGACUAGUGGGCAUCCUCGUUCGUGCAAACGAAGGGGAUUUGAGGGGUAUCCGGUGGAUUUGACCUCAUCGAAAUGGGUGAACUCCUCCUAUGUCAUUACUUUUAUUGUAAAAUAGAAAAUCAUGCAUAUUCAUGCUAGAUAGAGUAUAAAUGAAUUUUUGAAUGCUCAAAAUGCAUAUGCCAUAUAUCAUGUUUUGAUAACCUCUAUGUAGUAGAGAGACAAGUAUAUAGUAAACAUGCAAGUGAAUGACACUCUUUACCUAUGGUUGGAAUCAUGUUUCAUUUAGUGAAAAUGACAAGUUGUACAUGCUCUUGGAUAUAAAACUUAUACUUGACAUAGUGAACAAUAAUGUCAUAUAAUGACACUUGAUUUAGUAAAUGGUUAAACCUUUACAUGUUGACAUAGAGAUAGGCCGUUGGAUAAUUAGCAUAUAUACCAUGUUUUAGACAUGAUGACAGUGGACUUGGGAUGGAUGAUUAUGCUUGUUUGCCAUUGUGCUCUUUCGCACAUGCUUGUGAGAGUCGCUCCCCACAAGCCGGCACUCCGAAGAUAGCCAACGCGACACAAGCUCGCCCGUGCAGGAUUGGGCACCGAAAUGGGAUGCCGUGGGGAGACUCAUUCCUAAAAUGGGAAUGUUGACUACCACGGGACCAUUAGGCACGGCGCAAGCCGGAAUACACUUGUGUAGGUCUUAGUGGAUUGGAACAAUGAAAAAUAAAAGUGAAAUGUGGUCAUCAUACUAGUUAGUGCAUACUAGUUGUACAUACUCAUUCAUGGUAGAAUAGCACUUAUACAUGUGAAACUUCAUGCUAAGUAAAGGCAUAGUAGUUAGUAAAUCUUAAUAAUUGCUCAUAUAUAUAUUGCUUAUUUAGUUACAUCCUUAUACUACAUAUGCCUCCAUGACCUAGUGGUGUAUUUCGCUGAUGUCGGUGGCUUAUCCACUGGGAACUAUUGACUAAUAGUUCUUAUUCCCAUUGUAUUGUUGUUUUUGUUUACAGAGCCAUCCGCACCAGGAGAGGCUAGGAUCGCAGCAAAAGGGUCGCGUCUAGCUAGAUAGCUUGGAGUAUUUCCGCUAGGUGGUUUAUCUCUCUUUUUAUUUUUGUUGGAGAGAUAUUUUAUACCCUAUGUGUAGAGACCACCAUUUUGUAUCUAGUGCUAUGUAUAUGGAUCUCGGUUGUAUGUAUUACUUCAUGGAUUAUGAUAGUUGUUUAGCUCUUUUUAUUCUAUUUGUCUUCAGAGAUUAAUUGUUUUCAUGCUCUGAUAUUAUACUAGUUGUUAUACUUUUGUUUUAUUUAUAGUAUUGUUGUAGACGCCUUAUAUGUUGUAGGCAUAUGGCGGGUUUGGACAAGCACCGAGCGGGCUUCCGCUGGGUCCCGGAGCGUGACAGCAACAGCAGCAACUCUUGCUCCAUUUCCAACGCGUAGGGUAAGCUUUCCAUCCCUAAGUCUUCGACUUUGUUUUAGCCCCUGCAUUGAAAUACAUAAAUGCGAGGUGCAUCGAGAGUCAAUGACCCAUGUAAAGUAGAACAAACCGAUAAGUUAGUAGUUUUAAUGACAUGAAUCUCGGACAUACCUUCAAAAGUCUUGUCUUUUACCUUGUCUUUAAGGCUAGCCAAAUAGUCCGGACAAUUCCUUUUCCAAUGGCCAUCCUUUUGACAGUGGAAACAAGUUCCUUUAGUGGCCUUCUUUUUAAGAAUUACCUUGGCAAGUUCAGUCUUUGACAUUUUCACAGGCUUCUUCUUUCUCCAUUUAGACUUUCUUUUGGAGGAAGUCCUUUCAAUGGCCAAAACUGACCCCUUAUUGACUUUUAGCAUUCCUUCAGCUGUGACCAACAUAUUCAAUAGCUCGGUGAGAGUGCAAGUAAUUUUAUUCAUUUGGAAAUUUAAGGUGAACUGAGAAAAUGAAUUUGGCAAGGAUUGUAAGAUCAAAUCUGUUUAGAGUUCUGCGUCCAUAGCCAUUCCGAGCUUCUCAAGCCACUCAAUGUCCCUAAUCAAUUCCAAGCAAUGAUUAUUGACUGACUGACCAUCAGACAUCUUAGCCCUAAACAGUUGCUUCGACACUUCGUAGCGGGCUUUUCGACUUUGCUCAUCAUACAACUCCUUGAGAUGGAGCAAAAUAUCAGCAGCACUCUCCAUGUGCUCAUGCUGGCGUUGCAAUUCAUUGCUCAUAAACGCAAGCAUGUAACAUUUUACCUUCAUAUCGUCAUUAGUCCAUUUAUUUCUUGCAGCUCUUUACUGAGCUGUUGGAUUUUCAGGCACUGCUGGAGCCUUCAUGUCCAACACAUAGGCUAAUUUUUUAGAAUUGAGAACAAUUCUCAAAUUCCUUAGCCAAUCGGUGAAAUUCGGUCUAGUUAAACGAUUAGUAUCGAGUAUUUUGGCAAGUAGGUUAGAUGCAGCCAUAUUCUGCAGAAGAUUAAGAUUCUAAUUAGUUGUGUACUUAAUCGUAAUCCAUUUGGUUAGGAUCUUUAAAUCUAAAUGGUGCCUCCCACUAAUUUGGCGAAUCUUCAUACUCCCUGAGAGGAGAAAAUGAAAACUUUAUUUAAAAGUUUCUAGUGGGGAUUGUGGUUCCAUUUGUUUACACAUCACCUCAUCCUAACAGAUUCUUGGCAAUGAGCAAACAAAUAGAUGAACAACUCUUAUUGAAUACUUCUCAAGCAAAUUGCAAUUUAAUCUUUGACCUCCAUAAGAUAUAGGCCUCAUCCUGAUAGAUUCUUGACCGUAUCUCUUGGUUAAGUUAGACCGACCGUUCAUUGUGCAAAUAAGAAUGUCAUUGAAUACUGAUCCUGACAGAUUCUUGAAUUCAACCCCUUUCUUACCGCAUAGUAUCUCAUACCAAUAGAAUGGUUGCGGCUCCCUAAUGCAACUGAUCCCCGUAUCCGGGUGCAUCAAUCAAUACUAAAGAGACACCCACACCCUACAACGGCGGAAGGCUACUAAUGGGUUCAUAACACCAUAUAUUAACUUAAUAUUUCAUUUAGGGAGAUUAGUUUGUCUCAUCGGUUUUAAUUUAUUAUUAAUUUACAUCUCAUGCAAACCAUCGCAUCACAUGCAUACAUACAGCACAUAUAAAAAUAACUACCGGUGAUGAUCAUGAAUUUUAUCUUGAUUCGGGCCUGAGCCACUAGGCCGGAAUCGGAUCAUAAGGGUAUUACAUACAAGAAAGCCUUUUCUUAUUCUGCGUCUUGAUCGGAUUGGAGUUGAUCAACUCUUGUCUUCUCCCUUAAUCAGCAUCUGGUCCAAAUGUGAUCCGCAUCGCAUCAACUCUUGAAUACAACGAAUCCCUCUGGAACCUAAACUAUCUUUUUCCUUAUUAAUUUUACAACAAUAACUUUACAACUCAUAAAAUUAAUGAGACACGCAGGUCUCCAAAUUAUAUAAUUUAAUUGAUAUAUGCAGGCACCUAACAAAAAAUAAUCUAAUACUGAGUUCUUAUUAAAUUACAACAAUUCAAAUCAUCACAUGAUACAUGCACAUCACAAUAUCGCUAUCCAUGAUCAUCACUCAUAUACAUCACAUGCAUAUAAUAUUAAAUUAUCUAAUUCGAAUUCUAAUUAAUUGGCUUUCGGAUUAAUUUAAAAAUAAAUCUUUAUUUGUUUCAAGAAUCAAAAUUCAUUCUUAAAAUUAUUAAAAAGAUUUAAUACAUCUCAUGUGUUAAAUUUUAAAAUUUAAAAUUAAUUUAAAUUGCGAUUCACGAUGCAGUCGCAUCCUAGCCGCGUCACCGCAAGCUGCUUGCCCGCAUGGCGCGCGCACGGACAUAGCACCAUGUGCAUAUUGUCCAUGCACAUCACCGCGUACCACAUGCAAUAAAAAACCCAUGCCCUGAUCUAAUUAAUUAGUGCUACUAUGCACAUAUUUCGUGGCCAUCCUAAUUAAAGAGAUCACAUGUGAAACAUUAAUGAUUAGCAUGUGCAUGCAUGCGUGUCGUCAAGAUGACGGAUUCAUGCAAGUUCUAAUUGCACGUUGGGUGCGCCUCUUCCGCAUGCCGACUGCCACAGAAGGGUAAACACCGAGCGCAAUAUGUAUUUAUUCUCCGUGCAAUUUAAUUAACGUUUCAAAAUAAUUAAAAUUUUUCGAAAAAUAUUUUUCAUCGUUUUGAUUUCAAUCAAUCCGAAAAUUCAACCAACAUCGAAAAAAAGAUUAGAUGUAAAACAAAAGACGAGGGUGGCUAUGAUACUACUGUAAGAAAAUCAUGUAUACGCAGCGAAAAAAAAUAAUACAAUUAAAAUUUUCUAAAACUAAAGAUCACCUCGUGCUUCGUUUUACAUCAUUAAAAAUAUAUCUAAUUGAUCUAAUCAAACAGAAUCUAUUUUUUUUUUUUUUUACCUUGUGCAGGUCGAGAUCACCGGAAGCCGACAAUUAUUGUUAAAAAUUGUUCGUCCUCGCUUAGCCGCGCACGCGCCCGGCCUCUACUCGCGUACACACGAAAUCACGCUCUUAAUCGAAUUAGACGGCCGCUUCGAUCCGUGAUCCGAUCACAAAUUAACUCUUGCGUCAAUUUGAAGAAGAUGAAUCAUAUUCUAGAUGUGCUAGCAACUUUUUGAAAAUCAAAACCGAUCAAUUAAUUAUGGAGAACUUGAGAAAGAGAGAGAGGACUGACGGCUAAGAUUUUAUUUCUCUUGUAUUAAUUUUAAUAUGUCAUAUGACAUAUAUUUAUAAUGAGAAAAUUCUAAGCCUAAUCCUAAUCCUAAUCCUAAUCGAAAUCCUAGUUCAAUUGGAUUAUCCAUUAACUCACAAGUUGGUUAUAAUAUUAACCGAAUCCCAAUCCGAAUCCUAAUUCUAAUUCGAUUCGUGUGUAACAUUUACACAUAAAUCCUCAUAUUAUUUACUAACGGUUAGUAAAUAUACCAUGCAACUUUUACAUGUAAAUAUCUCUAAUUUACAACAAUUGCAAAUUAGUCCUUUUACUAAUAAAUUAGUAAACUUUAGUAUUUAACAAUAUUAUAAUUGCAAUUAACCCAUUCGAUAAACUUCUUUUAUCGUCUCCUUAACAUCGAUCAUGCGUGAUUUUCUUAUGUGUGUGACCUAACAGGUUCAAUUCUGUCUAGUAGUGAGAAAUGAUGCGAUCCCUAUCUACAUCAUCAUCGAAAUUCCUUUCGAUGGCGCAAACUCUUUUGAUUCCACUCUUACAGAAUAAUGAAUUAUUUAUAAUUAUUUCUUUUAGUUCCCACAAUCCACUAAUGAUGCCUAGCAGCAUUUAGUGGUAAUCUAAUCAGAAGUGAAUAUCGUAUUGAACCUCUAGAUGCAGUUACCGUAUAAUAUAAUUAUUCUAUCGCAUAGUCCCGACUGAGUGGAGGUCAUGGAAUACUCAUCAAACCCCAUCGCCCGUCAUAUGACAAAUUUGAUAGGACAGAAACUCUUAUGGUUACUCUUAGAAACCUCUUUCCAUACACCAUAUUACCCUGGCUGAGAAUUUCUAAGCUUUGCCUUACAAAUAGUAUAGAACUAAUUAUCUCUCUAAUGAGAGCGAUAGUGUAACGUAUCGCAUCCCCGUAAAUCGUGCCGAGUUCCGUCGAAACGAGCGGAGUUCGGAGUCGGACGAGUUGGAAUGGGUUCUAAGUGUUUUGGAACCAUGAUAUAGGGUGUAGGGACCAAGAGAGCAAAACUAGUGAAAAACUGGCUAAGUCCCAGUUUUUGGGUUCUCAGGGUCCGGUCCCUCAGGGAAGGACCGGUUCCCAUACGCGAGAAAUGCCAGAAGCUGAAAAUUCGGCUAAGUCCUGAAAAACCAACCUACGGAUACCGGUCCCUGCGGGGAGAGACCGGUCCCGAUAUUCGAAAAUUGCCCAAUGAGGGCAGAUGUGAAUAGGUGAAUUGUGAGGGGGUUAUAUGCAAUUAUGGUUAAGUGGGUAUGUAGAGGGAUGAGGGUUAGGGUUAGCUCUCAUUUCUCUCAACCCAAACAAAAUAUCCCCCCCUCUCUCUCUCUACAAUCUUCUUUUCUCUCUUCCUCUCUCUCUAGAGCUUGGACCAAGGAGGAGUUUUGGAGGGAUCUAGGUGAAGAAAAAGGCAAAAUUGAAGGUGUUGCUUGCUAGAGUGCAAGAGAACAAGGAAAGCUUGGGACUCUAAGGUGAGUUUCCAUGAUUUGAGUUAGGGUUUUGAGUUGUAGCUUCUAGUAAUGACACCUAGGGGUUUUAUAGUGGUUUUCCCCAUGAUUCUUCAUGCUAAGGACUUGUUUGGGGAAGAUGAUAUUGUUAAGGGACCUAAAGUUAAGAUUUUUGGAUGUUGAGGUUCAAUCUUGGGAUUGAUCUCUUUUUAACUUAAUUGGUAGGUCGACGAACGCGUUGGUGCGCUCGGUUCGGCGAAACGACGAGCGUGCGCGGAGAUAUUGAAGAAAAAGGCUAAAUUGGUACAGAUUGCCGCAGCUCGCGGCGUAGGUGUUUAGAAAUCACGAAAUCAGGAUCGCAGCAUCCUAGCAUUCCUAUAAGGUGGGGGGUGCUAUCCAGAAACACCGAAUUUCCUUCUAUGUCUGUGUUACCAUUAUUGAGCAUAUUGAUGUUAGCAUUCAUGCAUAUAGGGUAGCGUGAUGAAUAUGAUUGGUUGAGAUUCAAUUGUAUGCUAAAGAACAUCUGAAUUGAUAUAGAACUAUGUGAACUAAGAAUGUGAAAAACCCUAUGUGUAUGUGAAUGUAUGAAAAAGAGAAUAUGACGAUAGUAAACAACGGUGACAUUGACAAUAGUGACGAGAUUGGCACCGAGCAUAAGAACGGCUAAACAAGGUUUAACCUAGAGUGGCAUCAUGACUAUUGUGACUCAGAUAUAGUGGAAAUGUGAUAUGGUUAUAACCUAUCAUCGACAUUGAGGCUUUGUGCAUUGAGACAGGUUUGACAAUACUUCCUCAAAUUGAGGAUUGGAUCGUACUCACACAUUGGUUCCGGCUUGAGGGAGGUAGCUCCUCCUCAAGCGGUGUACUCCGGAGUGUUGACACCACGGGGAGAGUGCCCCGGCAAAGAUCCCUCGGGUGGUAGUGCUAGUAGCCUUCCCCGGUAGAUGGGAUAUGUGGAUUGUGAGUUUGGGGGUAAACCAAGAGCACCCCGGGAUAAUUGGGUAAAGGCCAAAAUAAAUGAGGAAAAGAACAUGCAUACAUAAUUAUCAUGUACUUGAUUAUCUAUCUAGUUGUUGACAGCUUUCUUGCAGGCAUUGUUAUAGUUUUGCAUUAGUUGUUUGCAAUCUAUCAUUCCUUGAAAUACAUAUACCUGAAUAGACCUAGUGGGCGAGUCGGCGCGGUCGGCGGCCGAACCAACUGGGAACUUCUUUUAGUUCUCACACCAUCGCUAACCCUGCAGAUCCAUGCGCGAGCGGGGCGGCGGAGGAUCGAGGCAAGGGACUAGCGCCGUAGAUAGUAGCCUACGGAGUCAUAGGCAUACCCUAUGUACAUAUUCAACUUUUGUAGGUUGAAUUAGAAGUGUAAAAGAUGUAAAUUAUGUAUUUUGGGUUAAAGGAAAAUGUGAUGUAAAUGAACGGAUAAGAAUUAAUGUAAGUGAAUGGUUUACUUGUGUUUGAUUCAAAUGUAAUCAAAUGACAUGUGUUGAAUGGUUUAGUGUAAUAGCAUAGAUGCUUUCACUUGUGGUUUUGUUGUUGCUUGUCCUCGAGCAAGCCUUGUAUAAUUGCAUUCAUCUUGUUGAAUUGCUUGUAUUAUACUUGUUUAUUAGAGCCUUGGGCGGACAGGGGAGGUGCUGUACGUUCGGCGUCUGUCGGCAUGCUCGAACCGACCAAAUUGGCGCCCUCGGGGCGUGACAGAUAGAUCCUCUAUAAACACACACCCAUUCUUGAUAUGAACUGACUGCAGCCAACAUAUACUACUAAGACCCAUGGCUAGGAUCAGAAUUUGUUACAUAGUCAAAACUACAGUAGCCUCACAUUGAAUGGUCGUGGUGUCGUAGGUCUAAGGAUCAGUUGUACCACUACAACAUCGAACCAGUUACUAACGAAUGAGUAGACAUCCAUGUAACUAUUCAUAGUUGGUCACGCUCAAUACCCUUGUUCUCCAACAACCACCUGCAUGUUCGCUCUAGUGUCCCCACACUGAUGACUCGAGAUUCGUCAUCCCAAAAGAGAAGCGGCACACACAUCAAUCCUACUGGAUCAAUCAUCGUCCCUAUGAUGAUCCAGCGAUUGAGAACAUUUAGGAAUUAAUCACCAACAAUAUGUAUCUCAAAUUCUCAACUCUUGAGAAUACAUAUUAUCAUGUUAUUAAUUCAAAGUACGAUUCACGGACAUAUUAAACAUGAAUAGAAUAAAAGGCCCAAUAUAUAAAUAAUAAAAAUUAAGUACAAAUAUGUGUCCUAUAGAAAAUAAAAUGUGUCAGCCUGAUAGGCUUCUAGGACAUACAACUAACAACAAGCUCCCAAGAGACUACAUUUAUUGCCACCUAGAAACUCUAAGGGAUUCUUGACUUUUUGGCAUCCACACCAUCAGUCUUGAGAUCCACGUAGAAGCUUCUAAAAUGCCCCAGCAAAACCUCUGACAGAAUGCUCCUUCGGAGAUUGGGCCACUGUUAAGGAGAAGGCAGCGGAAAACAUUUUGUCCGUGACAACCUCCCACACCUAACAUGCAGACGCCCUCAUCGUGCGUCGAGCUACUGCCAAUCCACGUUACUUUCUACACAGUCCGUCGUGCCUUGGCGCCCGAUCGGCCCUGUGCCUUACUACUGUAAUCCGCCUUUGUCCCCACACCAACUCCUAGUGCCUUGCCCCUCUGAGCAUGUGGACCAACGAGCUUGCUGUGUGAAGAAUCUGCCAAGUGUGCAUGUCCUCCGCGACACGCACACGCACUUCGCCAAGCUGCAAAAUGCCCCUUUGUCCUCUCGGACCUCUGCUUAUAGAAUGACUUGCACCUUAUUUGGGCGCUAGCUGCUUCGGCUCCACAGGAGACUUGUCAGUCUCGCCGCUACUCAGGUCCUCCUCGAGUCCCUCAACCUUCCCGCACUUCACCUUCUCGUAAAGUUGCAGGGUUAUCAAGGUUUGGUCCUUCGUUGGCUCACCCCGACACAUCGGAACCAUGCACGGUGCUGACUCAUCCAAAAAUCUCAACACCCACAAGUGUGGCAUGUACGCGGCCUUCGACGAAAUGAGGAAGUCUAUCCCGAGGAUCACUCCAAAGUCGUCGAGUGGCCCAACAUUGAGAUUAGCCUUGCCUCUCCAUGGGCCGAUGGCUAUAUCCACGCCCUUGGCAACUCCCGUGAUUAGCCUCGGCUAAGACUUGACUGCCUCGAUGCGGCUCGCAUCCUUCUCGAGUAUGAGGCCCAACCGCUUGGCCUCCGCCUCCACGACAAAAUUGUGCGUCACGCCGGUGUCAAUCAUUGCCCUCAUGGUCCUCCCGUUGAGGAUCACAUCGACGAACAUAAGCUCUCUACUGCAGAGCUUGUUGCCGCUUGGCUGACCGUGAACUGCGUUUAUGAGGCUUAGCGUGCCCAUCCUCAGCAGCUCGACCACGUCCUCGUCCUCACCUUCCUGGGCUUGGAUUGUUGCAACCUGCUUUCUUUGUGGUUGCUUCUCUUUAAGCAUGCAGUCCCGCGCCCAAUAGUUCUCACCGCAUACAUAUCAAGAGAUCUUUGCAGGCGGUGGGGCGGGAUUCUACCGUUGCCUCCUCGCAUCAUGGUUUGGCUUGNCCCGUGCCCACUGGUUCUCACAGCAAACAUAGCAAGAGAUCUUUGCAGGCGACGGGGCGGGAUUCCGUCGAUGCCUCCUCGCAUCAUGGUUUGGCUUGUGUCCCUUCGCGCCCCCUGGAUCUAGGUGCCCUCCCCCACCUUUGGCCUUGCUCGUCUUUGGUGGUUCACCUUGAUCGCCCUCGGUUCACUCCCACUCGGGCAACUUCUGUGCCAAAUCGAUCGCGAAGUUCGAGUCCUUCACAUCUCGCACCACGAGCUCCUUGUUUGCCCACAGGUGAAGGCCAUCUAAGAAAAAGAAUAGCCAAUCCUUGUCGGCCAUAUUGGAGAUCACCAACAUGAGCUUCGAGUACUUCUAGACAUACUUCUUGAGUGUGCCCCGAUGUUUGAGCCGUCGAAGUUGCCUCCGGGCAAGAUAUUCGAAAUGCUCGAGGUAGAAUUGUGCCUUCAAAUCGCGCACGAAAUCCUCCCAAGUCUUUAAUUCGCAUUAGCCCUUCACGGCCUGUAACACACUGGACCUUUGCAAAUAGUGAGGUUCGAGUGUUUGAUUUGUGUUCUGAACUUUUCCACACAUUGUGGAGGGUCGUAGACAGUAUUCCGACCUAUGGUUCGAGUCCCAAGAAUUGAGGUUUAAAACUUGGCACCAAAACCCAAAAAGUUUGAUUAUUGGUGUGCUCUCGGGUAGCCUUCAGCAGGCUGUGUACCGGUACAGGGUUGAUGGCUGUACCGGUAUGGGGUGAUGGUUGUACAGGUACGCGGGGCCGUGUACCGGUACACAGGCAGCUUCUCAGCCAACCCAAGGCUCGGGUUUGGCAUUUUCGUGGGAUGUGUACCGGUACGCGACCCCGUGUACCGGUACGCAGUGCAGUCCACAGACUGCUUGAACUGCAGGGUGUUUUUGCUAUUGUAGCAACACUAUAUGUGUACCCACGCCCCUUAGGGCUCUCUUUGAGCCUUGCACCAGCAGAGAAUAGGUAGGGGAGCCUCUCUCUUCCCCUCUUUGGAUUUAAUCUCCUUUUAGCUUGGAUUUUGGUGGAUUGAUCUCUCCCUUUUCCUUCUUUCCCUUUUCCCUCUUUGUGCAUCUCCACCAUGGUUGAAGCUUAGAGCUUGAACUUGAGGCUUGUUUGAGGGAAGAUUCUUGGACCUAGAGGACUUUGAGCUUAGUUUGAAGCUUCUUAGAGGUUUGUAGCUUAUCCUCCCCCUCUAGAUUUUAGUUUUGAUGCUUUAUGGUAGAUGAAACCCUAGAAAUGAGGUUUAGGGUUAUUUUGGGGCUUUUUGAUUAGAUGCUUUUAGAACUCUCUUGAUGGGUUUAGAACCUUGGAAUAGGUUGCUUUGGAAGGAAUUUGACUUCCAUUUGGGGUUUGUGAGAGGAUUUCUACCUCAUAGGUGAGUUUUCUCCACCUUAGCCUACGUGGUCUUUUGCAUUUUUGGUAGUUCACUCUCCUUUUGUUGUAGUUGAGAGAGAGAGUUAUGUUAGUACCUUGUAUAGAGAGACCACCUAUGUAUCUGGUUUAGCAUUUGUACUUUAGAUGUUUAUUGUACUACUUCCCGUUUCUACCUAGUGGAUUUAGCUCUAUAUUCAUUUCGGUUAUUGUAGCAUCUAGAUAUACUUGCUCUGAUACUGCUAGAUGUUCUCUUUAUCUUGCUUUAUUUAUCGUUUUAUUUUAGACGCCUUAUAUGUUUUAAACGUAUGGCGGGUCUGGGCACGUGCCGAGCGGGCUUCCGCUGGGUCCCGGGGCGUGACAGAUUAAUUUGGUAUCAGAGCCUAGGGUUGAGUCUUAGUUGACCUAGUAAACCUUAGGCUAGUUGGACAAUAGGAAAUAGGCUCGUGAGAGAUAGGGUCUAUUCGACUUAUGAGCGAAAGUAUCGUGAUUGGGUAUCUUGAUAACUCUAGAAAGUGGAGUUAAAUUGAAGUGUAUAGCUCCUAACUUCGCGAAGGGUUACGUUGGCGGCCGACAACGUAACAUCGGGAGUUAGUAGUGAAGCACACUUCAUUACUUUCGCAUGAUUUGGGGUAUUAGCUGCUUGAGCGGGAUACGAUUGCGUGCGUUACUAACUUACGCUUUUAUGAUGUUGUAGUGACGAUGCCGAUUACACGCUCUCAAUCUGCCAGAGCGGAUAAUGCGGCAAACUUGGAGGAGGUCGAGACCUCCGCUACCUCCAGAUCCGGCGAGGUCCGUGAGUUGAGGGGCCAGCUUGCGGCCCUCACUGAUAUGGUAGCACAGCAGACUAAGGCAGCGUGCCGACAGGAGGCGUGGAUGAAGCGCCUAGAGGACCUUCUUCUGCAGCAGGCGGCACCUUCCAGGGAGACCCAGGCCCCUACACCGCCAGCACCAAUUGUGGACGUCGCGCCGAGAGCGCCGUCCCCUGCGCCCAGUUCGUCGUGUGCAGCGCCUGUGGCCGCGCCUCAGGAGGAGGUUGGCGGCGCCACCUGUUCAGGCACCCCCGAUUGGAGCUAUUUUUCCCGUGUUGGUUGAGGGAGCGGAGCGGGACCGACUGAUGGAGCGCCUCAACGAGUUCAGGAGGUGCGGUCCCCGGAUCUUCGACGGCGAAAAGGUCGACCACUGAAUCGUAGAGAAGUGGUUGAUGCAUAUGGAGAAGCUCUUUCGCGACACCUUCGUGGAGGAGAGGGAUCAGGUUUGGCUUGCCACACACCACCUGGACGGCGAGGCCUAUCGCUGGUGUUUGGAUCUCCAGGAGCACCCCAGCACUGAUUUGGCAGCUAUUACUUGGAAGAGGUUCAAGGGGCUUCUUUUGGCUCAUUACUUCCCGACCAGUGUCAAGAGAAAGAUGGAGCAGGACUUGCGCAACUUGCGCCAGGGAGACAGGACAGUAGCCGAGUACGAGCGGUAGUUUUCUCGGCUUCUACAUUGCGUGCCUUUUGUCGUGCGGGACGACGAGGACAAGGCCCGCAUCUUCGAGCGAGGAUUGCGACCGUCGAUCUUCCAGUUUGUGCAAUCCUCUAACCUCCAAACCUACCGGGAGGUGGUGGAUCGCGCGCUCAUCGUGGAGAGCGGCGCGGCAGAUGUCCAGGAGCGGCGAGAGGCUAUGGACAAGGGUAAGGCCAAGAGGCCUGCGGCUGAGGGUGUGAGCCAAACGCACUCUAGGAGGCUGCCGAAGCAUCCUAGGAGCCAGCAGCGUGGGCGUGGCUCGGCAACUCACCGUGGAGGUUCUGACCGACGUCGACCUUCCCAGUGCGUGAUCUGUAGUGGUCCUCACAUUCCACCACAGUGCCCACAGCGGGGAGGGAGGUGUUUCCAGUGUGGCAAGGAGGGCCACUUCCGGACCGAGUGCCCGAGGGGUUUGUCACCGGCACCAUCAUCUGCAUCGGCACCGGCUCUACCAGCCGCCAGCUAGGGGACUCUAUCGGCGCAGUACCAGCCUGGGCGGCCACCCGUCCAGCGCCAGAGCGAGGGUUCUCGACAGGCCCCGAGUGGGCGUAUGUAUGCCGCUCAGACCUAGGAGGCGGCAGUAGCCGAGGAUGUGGUUGCAGGUAUCAUUUUACUUGAUGACAUUAGAGUUCUUGCAUUAUUUGAUACCGGUGCAUCACAUUCAUUCAUAGAUCGGCUGUUUGCCGAGUUGCAUGGCAUCCCUAUGCUUUCUUUGUUGUAUCCGAGAUGUGUAGUUGUCCCCGACCAUUCUUUGGAUAUUAGAGAGUAUUGCCCCAGUUGCCCUAUUCGGGUAGGAAAUUGGAUUAUGCCCGUGGACUUGCUAUCCCUGCGCAAGCUGGGGGAAUUUGAUGUGGUCUUAGGCAUGGAUUGGUUAACCAAAUAUUAUGCCACGAUAGAUUGCAAGAAUCUCACGGUUACUUUUAGAGAACCGGGACAGACUGAGGUUGUAUUUAGAGGAUGCCAGAGUUCGCUUUUUGCGAUGAUGAUCAGCUCAUCUCGAGCUAGGCAGGUGAUCAGCAGAGGUUGCGUAGCCUAUUUGGCUAGUGUCGUGCUGAGGGGCGGGGACGACGCCCCUAGGAUUGAGGAUAUCCCAGUGGUGCGGGAGUUUUGUGACGUGUUUCCAGCUGAGCUACCGGGUAUGCAACCCGAUAGGGAGAUCGAGUUUGUGGUAGAUCUCGUCCCUGAGACUACUCCAAUCUCGAAGUCACCCUAUAGGAUGGCACCGGCGGAGCUGAAGGUGCUGAGGGCACAGCUACAGGAUCUGUUGGAUAAAGGCUUCAUUCGACCGAGCGUCUCACCGUGGGGGGCGCCAAUUCUGUUCGUCAAGAAAAAGGACGGAUCACUUCGCCUAUGCGUGGGCUAUCGUGAACUCAAUAAAGUCACGAUCAAGAAUAAGUAUCCGUUGCCGAGAAUCGAUGACUUGUUUGAUCAGUUUCACGGAUCGUGUGUGUAUUCCAAGAUCGACUUGCAGUCGGGAUACCACCAGUUGAAGAUCAAACCCGAUGAUGUAUCGAAGACGGCUUUUAGAACACGAUAUGGACAUUAUGAGUUAACUGUUAUGCCGUUCGGGCUUACUAAUGCCCCGGUAGCUUUUAUGGAUCUAAUGAACCGUGUUUUUAAGCCUUAUCUAGACAGUUUCGUCAUGGUGUUCAUCGACGAUAUUUUGGUUUAUUCCCGAAGUGAUGCAGAUCAGAGGAGCAUUUGAAGCUUGUACUUCAAGUACUUCUGGAAAAGGAGCUCUAUGCCAAGUUGAAAAAGUGUGAAUUUUGGCUUCGAGAGGUAGCUUUUCUUGGACAUUUGAUUUCAGGAUCGGGUAUAGCUGUGGAUCCUAAGAAGAUUGAAGCAAUCAAGGAUUGGCCGAGACUGACGAGCGUCACGGAGAUACGGAGCUUCCUUGGAUUGGUCGGAUACUACCGGAGAUUUGUUGAGGGGUUCGCCAAGCUGUCUACUCCCCUCACGAGGCUCACGCAUAAAGGAGUCAAGUUCAUUUGGAAUGAUGCAUGCGAGAGAAGCUUCCAAGAGUUGAAGCAAAGAUUGAUGACCGCCCCGAUCCUAACCCUGCCAAUGGCUGGAGCAGGGUAUGUGGUUUAUAGUGAUGCUUCACUUAAUGGAUUGGGUUGUGUGUUGAUGCAGGAUGGCAAAGUGAUCACGUACGCUUUGCGCCAACUAAAGGAAUAUGAAAAUAACUACCCGACGCAUAAUUUGAAGUUCGCGGCCGUAGUCUUCGCAAUGAAGUUAUGGCGCCACUAUCUUUAUGGUGAGCGGUGUGAAGUGUACACGAAUCACAAGAGUUUGAAGUACUUAUUCACUCAGAAAAAGUUGAAUUUGAGACAGCGCAGAUGGUUGGAGCUGCUCAAGGAUUACGACCUAACGAUUCUAUACCACCCAGGUAAGGCUAACGUGGUGGCGGAUGCGCUAAGUAGAAAAUCGACGGAAAACUUAGCGAUGCAUGUUGUUACCCAACCGCAGUUGAUCGAGCAGAUGAAGCGGUUGGAGUUGGAGGUGGUGAUUCCAGAUAUGCCUUUGAGAUUGAUGACUUUUGUAGUGCAACCUACACUCUUGGAUAGAAUUAAAGAAAAGUAAGCUUCCGAUGUGAAGUUGCAAAAGGUUCGAGAUAUAAUGGUUGAUGGUUGCACCGCCGACUACCUUGUGGAUGACCAAGGAUUGAUGCGUUUUCGCGAGCGGAUUUGUGUACCGGCGGAUUCGGGAAUUAAAAAGGAUAUCCUACAAGAAGCGCACCAAGCGCCCUAUGCUAUACAUCCGAGAGGCACCAAGAUGUACAAGGACUUGAAGUUGCUUUAUUGGUGGCCCAGGAUGAAAAAGGACGUUGGCGAGUUUGUAGCUCGUUGUCUAACUUGCCAACAAAUAAAGGCUGAGCAUCGACUACCCGCAGGAAAACUUCAGAGUUUGCCCAUCCCGUGUGGAAGUGGGAGAAGAUCACCAUGGAUUUCGUGACUAGAUUGCCCCGCUCCCAGGCCGGGCAUGAUGCUAUAUGGGUGACGUGGAUAGGUUCACGAAGUCGGUGCACUUCAUACCUAUUAAUACUACUUGGACCGAAGAGAAACUCGCACAAGUGUACCUUGAUGAGAUUGUGAGACUUCAUGGAGUGCCUACAUCGAUAAUAUCGGAUCGAGACACUCGAUUUGUGUCUCACUUUUGGAGGAGUCUACAAGACGCCCUAGGCACUCGAUUGGACUUCAGCACUGCUUUCCACUCUCAGAGUGACGGGCAGUUGGAGUGCACUAUUCAGACCUUAGAGGAUAUGCUCCGAGCAUGUGUGAUAGAUUUUCAGGGAGGAUGGUCGCAGCAUCUACCGAUGGCGGAGUUUGCUUAUAAUAAUAGUUAUCAAGUAAGCAUCAAGAUGGCGCCCUUCGAAGCACUUUAUGGACGGAAGUGUAGAUCGCCACUUCAUUGGAGUGAAGUAGGCGAGAGAUUGGCCUUAGGCCCUGACGUGCUCCAGGAAGCUGAGGACAAGGUUUGAAUUGCUCGGGAGCGACUGUUGACGGCACAGAGUAGACAGAGGAGCUACGCCGACCGACGACGGCCGACCGACGACGGCGAGACUUAGAGUUCCAAGUUGGAGACCAUGUGUUCUUGAAGGUCUCGCCGACAAGAGGAAUCAAGAGAUUUGGGGUUCGGGGUAAGUUGAGCCCCCGUUUCAUUGGACCGUAUGAAAUUUUGGAACGUGUAGGUCUGGUAGCGUAUCGGCUUGCUCUACCACCGAACCUAUCGGGCGUGCACAACGUCUUUUAUGUAUCGGUCCUUCGAAAGUACGUCUUCGACUCGACUCAUGUGUUGGAUGCUACACCCUUGGAGUUGCAGAACGAUUUGAGCUUCGAGGAGCAACCAGUGAAGAUCUUGGCUCACGAGGUGAAGAAAUUACGGAAUCGGGACAUUCCGUAUGUAAAGGUCCUUUGGUGCAACCACGGGGAGCGGGAGGCCACGUGGGUGCUGGAGAGUGCGCUGCCGGAGCGCUAUCCCUAUCUUUUCAGAUGGAGUCUUGAGGUAUGUUGUAACUUUCGAGUUUCGCGGACGAAACUCCUUUUUAGGAGGGGUGAAUGUAACACACUGGACCUUUGCAAAUAGCGAGGUUCGAGUGUUUACGUUCCGAAUUUUUUCACACGUUGUGGAGGGUCGUAGACAGUGUUCCGACCUAUGGUUCGAGUCCCGAGAAUUGAGGUUUAAAACUUGGCACCAAAACCCAAAAAGUUGGAUUAUUGGUGUGCUCUCGGGUAGCCUUCAGCAGGCUGUGUACCAAUACAAGGUUGAUGGCUGUACCGGUACGGGGUGAUGGUUGUACCGGUACGCGGGGCCGUGUACCGGUACACAGGCAGCUUCUCAGCCAACCCGAGGCUCGGGUUUGGCAUUUUCGUGGGAUGUGUACCGGUACGCGACCCCGUGUACCAGUACGCAGUGCAAUCCGCAGACUGCUUGAACUGCAGGGGUGGUUUUGCUAUUGUAGUAACACUAUAUGUGUACCCACGCCCCUUAGGGCUCUCUUUGAGCCUUGCACCAGCAGAGAAUAGGUAGGGGAGCCUCUCUCUUCCCCUCUUUAGAUUUGAUCUCCUUUUAGCUUGGAUUUUGGUGGAUUGAUCUCUCUCUUUUCCCUCUUUGUGCAUCUCCACCAUAGUUGAAGCCUGGAGCUUGGACUUGAGGCUUGUUUGAGGGAAGAUUCUUGGACCUAGAGGACUUUGAGCUUAGUUUGAAGCUUCUUAGAGGUUUGUAGCUUAUCCUCCUUCUCUAGAUUUUAGUUUUGAUGCUUUAUGGUAGAUGAAACCUUUGAAAUGAGAUUUAGGGUUAUUUUGGAGCUUUUUGAUUAGAUGCUUUUAGAACUCUCUUGAUGGGUUUAGAACCUUGGAAUAGGUUGCUUUGGAAGGGAUUUGGCUUCCAUUUGGGGUUUGUGAGAGGAUUUCUACCUCAUAGGUGAGUUUUCUCCACCUUAGCCUACGUGGUCUUAUGAUUAAGUUUAGGGUUAAUCAUAAGGUUCGUUUAACUCUGGUUCCUACAUUUAUAGGUUGUUAGGAGGCUAGUAGACACCUUCGUCGGAGCUUACGAAGGGUUUCGAUAACUUCGGUGGGUUUGGCUUCAUUGGAAUAGGAGAAAAUAUCUCCUAAGUGAUUAAAUGCUUUCGUAUCAUCGUGGUUUAUGCAUUUUCAUCAUAGAUAGGAUUUAUGUGAAUUUUUUAAUGCUUAGAAUGCAUGCAUUAUGUAUCAUGAAUAUUUCACUCUAUGUGUAGAGCCUUAUGUGUAGUAUCUAUGCAUGUGUUAAGUAUUCGUAUUGCAAGUUUGGGAAUAUGUCUCUUAUGAGGAAAAUGUUUAGAAUUGUGUACUCUUGAACAUAAUCAUCAUGCUUGACUUAGUGAACAAAGUGCCAUAAAGGGGCACUUGACUUAGUAAACUGUGAAACUGCAACUUAGAGAUAUAGUGAUAGGCCAUUCAGACAUCCACUAUUAUUCCGUGUUUUAGACAUGACGACGUAAUGGUAGGCCAUCGGGACACUUGAUAUAUUCCAUAUUUUUAGACAUGAGGACUUGGUACUUGAGACAGAUCUUUCGCUUGCUUGCCAUUGUGCUCAUUCGAACAUGCUUGUGACGGUCGCUUCCUACAAGCUGGCACUCCGGAGAUAGCCAUCGCGACAUAUGCUCGCUCGUGCGGGAUUGGGUGCCGAAAUGGGAUGCCGUGGGGGAGGCUCAUUCCUAGAGUGGGAAUGUUGACUACCACGGGGCCAUUAGGCACGGCGCAGGCCAGACAGCCUACGGGUGGGUCUUACAUGAUUGGAACUUAGUGACAGACCAUGCCAGUUGGACUUUGACUAGAAUAGUAAACAACGACAUUUUACUAUCUACAUCAUGGAUAUUCUGUUGAUUGCAUAUACAUGCUUAUACAUGUUAGUCACACUCAUGAACAUACUUGUUGUAGUUGUUUUAUUACUUAUGCAAUUCUUGCUAAGUAGAGAUAUCAUGGUAGAGUAGUACUCAUGGUUACAUACUUGUUCUUUAUUUAGCUUUUGUUUAUACUCGUACUUACUCUCUUUUGUUCAGUUUUGGGCCUAGUGACACAUUUCACUAAAAUCAGUAAUUGCCUAUUGGAAACUAUUUUUAAUAGUUCUCACGCCCUCGUUUCUAUGGUUUUAUUUCAGAGACCUCUACACCGGUGGAGGCACGGGACCGCGGCAAGGGGAUCGCUUAGCUAGCUAGCAAGGAGCGUUUCUUUUGCAUUUUUGGUAGUUCACUCUCCUUUUGGUGUAGUUGAGAGAGAGAGAGUUAUGUUAGUACCUUGUAUAGAGAGACCACCUAUGUAUCUGGUUUAGCAUUUGUACUUUGGAUGUUUAUUGUACUACUUCCCGUUUCUACCUAGUGGAUUUAGCUCUAUAUUCAUUUCAGUUAUUGUAGCAUCUAGAUAUACUUGCUCUGAUACUGCUAGAUGUUCUCUUUAUCUUGCUUUAUUUAUCGUUUUAUUUUAGACGCCUUAUAUGUUUUAGACGUAUGGCGGGUCUGGGCACGUGCCGGGCGGGCUUCCGCUGGGUCCCGGGGCGUGACACGGCCUCUGCGAAACGCCAUUGCCAUCAUAGCAUCGUGUCAUCGGUGAAAUACAUGGAAGCGGUCUGGACCUUGUCAUCCUCAUCCUCCAACAGCAGCGCCUUGAGAUAGCGCUCCAUGUGCCAUAGAAAAUUGUCGAACUCCUUCUCAUCGCGUGUGCCCUUAAAGCAUUGGGGUUCAGGGAUGUGGAUCUUUGGGGUGCGCUCCUUCUGUGUCUCGAUGCCUCGAGCCACUGCCUUCUCAAGAAUGGUCACCCACAUCUUGAGGUCCUCGACCUCGUCGACCCUGGUGAGCAGGUCCUCUACCAAUACCUUCCGCUCGUCCUCGCGACGGGCGAGGUCCCUACGAAACUCCUCAAGCUGUUUGCGGAAAGUCCCCAUGGCAGUUGCAACGCUCUCCUCCAUGGUAUGCAGCCCAUCCUCCAUCAUCCCCAUAUGUUGGGAUAGGACGGAGUAAUGCUUCUUCGCUCUCGCAAUAGAGUCCUCUAGCACGUUCAUGCGAUCCUCGAGCGAGGCGGACUCUCUCACCAAAGUCCGCGACUCCUUAUUCUUGCCGUACUUGGUCGCCCUGGGCUCAAGCACAAUGUCACUGACGGCAGCAUCCGAUGUCAACAUGGCUUCCCAACAACAAAUCUCGCUCUGAUACCAACUGUCACGGACUUAAGCAGAAUCGCUUGUCUAGCCUGUGCGGCACUCGCCUUCCUUCGUGAAGUGAGUAAGCCUAUCUCUCUACUUGCUAAGUUAGGACCUACUCACCCUAAGACUAAGGACAAGAGAGAGAGAGUUUGAGGAAUGUUGUAUAUUGAUAGAAGUUGAGAGCACAAUUGAUUUCCUAGAGAGAGGGGUUAGAGGUCGCUUCCUUAUAUAGGCUACUCGCCACCAAGGCUACAAAUGAAAAGGCGUCAAGUGGUGCAUAAUUAACUACAAGGCAAAAGAGGGAUGCUACAAGCUCCCAAGAGAUCGACUACAUUUAUUAUCCACUUAGAAACUCUAAGGGACUCUUGACCCUUCAGCAUCCGUACCAUCAGUCUUGAGAUCCAUGUAGAAUCUUCUAGAAUGCCUUAGCAAAACCUCUGACAGAACGUUUUUUUGGAGAUUGGGCCACUGUCAAUAAAAAGUCAACAGAAAAUAUUUUGUCUGUGGCUACUAGCUACCUUUCUAGCUAGUGUCAAGUAUACUAUGAGAAAGAACUUCGCUAUCCUUGUGUAAACUCCAAAGAAUCCUAAAUUCUAGAGACAAACUCCAAAGAAUCCUAAAUUCUAGGGGCACCAAAGAAUCCUAAAGUCUGACAACUCGAGAUAUUUCUAAUCCUUGUAUAAAGUCCAAAGCCCACAAAAUCCAGCACACUUUCCCUUGUAGACGCAGCUUUCCCUGGUGAUCAUUUUAAUGCCCAAUAAUUAAUACCUCUAUUAAUAAACAUAAACACCCCACCACAGGGAAACAAAAAACAAAAAAGAAGAAAAAAUAUAUGAAGACCCCCUCACCAUUAGUGCAUUCUGAAUAGCCACUUUAACCGUAUUUUUUUUGUAAUUUGACACCUUUUUUGAAUUUCAAAAAAUUUUAUUUAAAUUUUUAUACUGAGUUAAAUUGAAAAUUAUUUUGAUCAAAUUUAAUGACUCUAUAAACCAUUCUGAAAUAGCCCUCUCGACUCCAAUAAUUUUCUUUUUUAAUCGGCACUCCUUUAACUUCAAAUUUUUUUUAUUUAUAUUUUCUACUCAGUAAAUUUGAAAUUCUUUUGAAUUUUGUUGUUCUAUUAGCUGUUAGUUAUUUAGCAAGUUUUAGUUUCAUCUAACAAAGCGUGAUCAAAGAUAUUGAAUUUGAUAAAGUUACUCAUGAGUUCAAUAAAAACCCCAACUUAGUAGAAAAAAUCCAAGCACCUGUAAAAGUUUAAAAGUUGAGAAGGUGUGAAUCUAAAAUUGUUUAAAGUUGAGGAGGCAUGUCUGAUUUCAGAAUAUAGCAUGUAGGCGAGGAGGCGCGCGUCUCCAUACAUUUUUACCAAAAAAAUAAAAAUAAAAUUAAAAAGAGAAUAAAAAAAAAAAAAAAAGAGCCCUUGAAUCUUAUUCCUCUCCUACAUGUCAUGCAUAGAGUCUUCCAUAAAGCAACAAAAGACAAAAAUUGCUAAUUUUUGUCUCUUGGCUAGCGAACUAAAGCAUUUAUCGACACACUCGCCAACUUUGGAUUCCUAAGCAUCUUUAAAUCUUAUGCUGAGCCCAUUCCCAUCUUAGUUUCCAAACUCCAACCAACUGUUUUAACAAACGCAUUAACAAGUUUCAGGCAACGGCUGUAUGGCUACUACUAGUACUAGUGUAUCUUACGCCCUCUCCUGGACGAUAAUGUGCUCCUCCGCAGGAGAAUCUGAUCCCAGAAGCCGUAAGCUGAACAAAAGCUCCGUCAAAGUGAAUGGCACCCACAGUACUGCCCUCCCGCACGCUGCAACCAAGCUGGAGACCUUCAGUACUUCUGCCGUCGCUUUCGUCGAAGAUGUCGCGGGAGAGCGCAGCAGGCAAAACAUUCCCACCGAGAAGCAGAAUGCCGAUCCUUUCCGACAAGGACUCAUCGUCGAAGGUGGAGUCGGAUAUCGGCAGACCGUCGUCAUCCGGUCCUACGAAGUCGGUCCCGAUAAAACCGCGACUCUCGAGACCAUCCUCAACCUUCUUCAGGUAACUAAUUACUUUUCCUAUUACUUUGUAGCCAAUUUUGCUGUCACCUAUUUAUACAUCAGCACAGAUAGUUAAAAAAAUUAAAUAAAAGCAAUGAUUUAAGCGUCUAUCAACACGGACCGUAUCCGUCGUGCCGUAUCGUACUAGCAAGAUCGAUACAGUCCCCUCGUGUCGAUGCCACAACUCAAAACUCUCUAUUCUUUAAAUUAAUAAAUAAUUUUUUAAUAAAAUUUAAAAAAUUUGAUAAAACAUAUAAUAAAUAAUUAGCAUAUUUAUUUGUUGCUAAAAGAAAUUAAAUAUUUAAUGACAUUAUGUGUCGACAUACUUAUAUUUUUUGUGAUCGGCACGCAUCGAGACGGCCCAGCACGCACCAUGCUAUACCGUGCCGGCAAAUUUCUGACACGACUCCGUGCCACGGUACUUAAAUCCUUGAAUAAAAAACAACCACACAGGUAUCUCAACAUGUCCUAUAUCACAAUAUAUAAUAUAAUAUUAGAUAGUUCACAAUUUAAUUGAAACUGGAAAGAGAAUAAAUGUCUUUUUGUUCAAAAGAUUUUACUGGAAGCGAAGAAGUAAUUUGAAACUUCUUCUCCUGCUGUAUGUAUCCUGGAGUCAAUAUUUAUUUAUUUUUUUUUAAAAAAAAAAACUGCUAGUGCGUUUUUCAAACUUUCUUAGGCCGGCAGGCUCUGAAUGAAACAGCUUACAUGUACAGUAGCGCAUCCUUAAUUGAAGUUUUGGAUUCUGAAAGCGUAUAUCACAAAUUAAAGCUUGCUUGAAAUGUCGAUAGGAAACUGCACUGAAUCAUGUGUGGAUGUCGGGUCUACUUGGCGACGGAUUCGGAGCCACGCAUGGUAUGAUAAGAAAUAAUCUCAUAUGGGUGGUUACAAGGAUGCACGUCCAAGUUGAUCAGUACCCAAUCUGGUGAGAGUUGCCAACAUCUCCUCCCAGCUACUUUUCUUGAUGAAAAUUGACUCUUAAUUAAUUACUCUUUCGCCGUUUCAGGGGAGAGGUGCUCGAGAUUGACACAUGGGUCGGCGCCUCAGGGAAGAACGGGAUGCGGAGAGAUUGGUUGAUCCAAAGCCGCCUCACGGGGGUCGUCUUUGCGCGCGCAACAAGGCAGGAACUCUCUCAUCUUCCCUUUCUUUUGACCUUGCAAGAGGUGCUAACUACAUAUCUUCAAUUCAUCCAAAGCUAUUCGAAAAAGUACUAACAACUUUCUUAAUAAAAAAUCUCCUUAGCAGCCGGCUUAACGCUGCAAGAAAAACAGAAAGUUCAAAUUGAGUUUUUUUGCUUUUGAACUUCUGGAAGCAAAAAAAAUCUUACUAAGCUAAUGCCCCAACCUAUUACUAGCCAAACACAUGUCAUCUGGAUGUUUUUUUUUUUUUUUGAGUAAACAGGGAUAUACCCUAUUUGGGUAACAACAAAGCGAACGAGUCAUCUGGAUGUUUUUACUUUAGAAGGAAGUAAACUAGUUAUUCAACAAGGCAGGCCAUAUAACAAUUUUUUAUGGAUUUUGUAUUGGUAUUAUGUCUGAUGCUGACAUGAUUCCUAUAUAUGUAAACAGUACAUGGGUCAUGAUGAACAAACAAACAAGGCGCCUUUCGAAGAUGCCAGAAGAGGUAAGAGAUGAGAUCUCGCCAUGGUUCAUAGAGAGACAGGCAAUCAAAGAGGAUGUGCCUGAGAAGAUCAUCAAGCUUGAUGACGAUGCCAAGUACGUCGACUCGGAUUUGAAGGUACUAUUUAUUGUUUCCACUAGUUAGUACUUUCGUAUAAUAUUUUGUUUUGCACUUCAAAUCUCUACAAGCAUGUCAUCCAAUUGUCACUUUUUUUAUUUUUGAGAACGAACUUUAUCUUUCAUUUCAAAGAACGCUCAGAAAUUCUAUCAUCAGAUAUAUGUUCAGAUGCAAACAAAUCCAGAGCAAUAAUUGAUAAUUCACUUUGAUUUUCUCUUUUGUAAAGUUCAUAUUGAUGGCUAUACCUGGCCUAACUUAAACCUCCAAAGCCUUCAAUGCACAUUAUCUCGUGCAAUAAAUUCCAGGAAAUAGGUAUUCCCCGUGUGUUUCCUUUUCUGAUAUUUCAACUUGUAUGCAGUUUUCAAUUUUCUUUUGUCAUCAACAUUUUAACAACAUACUAAAAAGACCUACAAUCUGCAAUUUGCAGCCGAAGCGGAGCGAUUUGGACAUGAAUCACCAUGUCAACAACGUUAAGUACGUAAGAUGGAUGCUCGAGGUAAAGCCAGUUGUUAUAUGCCGUUUUACUUUACAAGCACAUAAUAUCGAUGCCGUCGACUAUUACUCCUCUCUCUGCUAUAGUUUUACAUCCCUAAUGUUUCCUUAGUAAGAUGCUACUGACUUACCAAGCAGAACUACUCUAGAAAUGUCACACAUGAUGCAUCUUUAAGUAGGGAAAAGAAAAUAUAAUAGGUAGAGGUAAUCAUAAGCGUAAAACUCAUUCGAAUUAAUUAAAAUGUCUGUGUCCUGCAGACUAUCCCUGUCCAAUUUCCGGAGAAUUACGAACUUUCCAGUAUCAUACUAGAGUACAGAAGGGAAUGCGGGAGUUCAGACACUGUGCAAUCUAUUUGUGAGCCUGAUGAAGGUUCAAUCCCAGAAGAUGAUAAUAUCAGCAUAAUCAAAGAUUUCUCCCUAGCACCCGAAAUUCUUGAUGGGUGUGGCCUCUCCGGCACCUUCGACAAAUGGCCAACAAAAUAUACCCACCUUCUUCAAAUAAAAGGACAGCAGAAAUAUGAAGAGAUUGUCAGGGGGAGGACUACUUGGCGGAAAAAGUUAUUUAACACUUAUUAAGUGUUUGCUGCUUUAUUUAUGUUAUAUUGCUAAGUUUUUCUCAGUUUGGUUUUAGCCAUUUGUAGCAAAAGAUCUCACUCAAGUGAUUUUGAAGUGAUGAACUUUGCGAGGGUGAGGUGAACUACCUCCUUGAGUUUGUGAAACUGCACAUUCUGUGUCUCUGGAGGAGCACUGCUGGUCCCUUUCCUUUGAUUUGUGUAAAUUUGUCCAUGUCAUUCUACUGUUGUUCCAUGUGAUUUUAUUGUAAAAAUAUCAAAGGGAAUUGUGGUUGUUAUUUGAGCUUAGGUGAUCAAAAUACAGAGUAUUUUGUUUACUCUGUUCAGUUUAUAACAUAGGGUUAAUUUCAUACAUGUCCCUGCAAACAUAGUGAAUUGCAAAUAUAUUUCUACAAGAUUCAACUUUCAUAUGUUGUCUCUGCAAAUGUACUAUUUAUUUUAUAAAUAAAAUGACCUUUUUAGCAUCAAAAAUGUGUCCCUACAAAAGUUUCAACUAGUAAUUGAAGAGGGGUAAAAAGAUCAAUUCACGUCAUUAACUAACUAGGCUUAAGUAUUUUACCUAUUGUUGAUUAAUUUUUUCUAAUGGAUCCAAACGGUAGGGACAUAUUUGAAAAUAUCAAAACUUUUGCAAGGACAACAUAUGAAAGUUGAACUUUGUAGGACUAUAUUUAUAAUUCACUAUCUUUGUAGGGACUUGUAUGAAAUUAACCCUAUAACAUAAGUAUAUGAUCUCUGCUUUCUAUGAUAAGAAACUAGAUAUUUACUUCUUGUAAUCUAGUACAAGAGUUUUGUAACAGGAAAUAACCGGAACUAAUUAUAUUAAAUUCUUGUAACCAACAGAAGUGUUGGAUUUUAUCCAAUGAUAAAUUUUGAUGAUAACAAAUAGAUUUUGGAUUUAAUUUGUUAUUUAGCAAUUUCAUGUUGUAAUUGAAUUUAAAGCGGCUCAAGCUGAACCGGAUUUGAUCAAAGGUAACCAUUCAAUUAAUUUAUUCAAAUUGGCCCGACAAGAUCAAAUUGUACCAAAUUGGAUGCAAGUGCCACAACAAUAAUUUGGAGGACUUCUUUACAAUUUAUCGGAUUUGAGCCGCUCAACCUAGUCAAGUUGACCAAUUCACCUUUUGGGUUUGAUUUGUGCUUAAUGUCAAAUUAGCCAUUAUUUUAAUACGGUAUGAAAGUGAUUUUAUGUAUGGUAUAAAUUCAAACAUGAUUUUAUAUGUAUGGUAUUAUUUCAAAAGCUUUUACAAAUGUGGAAUGAAUUCAAAAAGUAUUUCAUUUGUAGGAUUUUACGAAUUUGGUAUGAUUUCAAAUGAGCUUUUGAAUAUAGUAAUAUUUCAAAUGAGUUUUGUAAACGUGGUAUGAAUUUGAAUUUAUUUUGGAAUUAAUUCAAAUGCAUUUAUUAAAAUUCAAAUUAAAAUCAAUUAUGAUUUAAUCAUACUUUUGUUACAUUUUUUAAAUGAUGGCUAGUGUAUUUAAAAGGGGGCUUGGAUGUUGUUUGUGAUAUAACUUCAGAAAAAUUCUCUAUGUAAUAUACCAAAAAUUCGGAAAAUAAAUAUCGAACUUUAGUCAAAUUAACCAAAGUGCGAGGAUGGUACACUUCGGAAAGUCCGAAGGUGUUAAAAUGAUCAAAAGUGCAUUGUGGGAGGUCUUCGAGAGCUAAAGAGUCAAAAUUCUGCAAACUGCAGAUUUUCAGCUCUCGGGGACCGGUCCCUGAAGGAAGAGACCAGUCCCCGAACGUGUGAGAACUGAGAAAGCUGAAAAAUCGGCUAAGUCCCAGAAAACCAGUUCUUGGGAACCGGUCCCUGCGGGGAGAGACCGGUCCCUGAGAGACUGGUCCCUCUGGGAGAGACCGGUUGCAUUGCGCGGGGGCCCUGGCUGCCCGCGGGGAGAGCUCUCUGGGACCGGUCCCUUGUCGGGGAGACCGGUCCCCGAGCCCGCAAUCUGCCCAGUCCAGGCAGUGUCAUAUAGUGAAAGCUGAGGGGUUUAAAUGCAAAAGUGCCUUAUGUGGACUAUGUGGAGGGGUCAAGAGAUAUUUUUUCUCAUUUCUCUCCCACUUUAACCCUCAUAUCUCUCUCUUUCUCUCUCUCUAGAAGACAAAGAAGAGAAGAAAGAAAAGAAAGAAGAAAGGAAAGAAAGGGAAAAGAAGAAGAAGGAGGAGGAGUAGAGGGUGAAGAAGAAGCUAAGGAGUAGAGCUACUUCCUCUUCUUCCUCUUUGGAGUAACAUAGGAGCAAGCUUAGAGGUAAGCUUGAACCCUAUUCAUGGUAGAACCCAAAUUAGGGAUUUGAUUAACCUAGGAAUGGUUUUAAUGGAGUCUCUAGUGUGGAUUGAAGCUUCUUUUGCUUCUGAAGGAGAUCAAACCUAGGGUUUGAUAUAUGCUAUGGAGCUAGGGCACCCAAAUUUGGGGCUUUUGCUCGGGAGGAUUUCAAGGUGAAAUUAACCCUCUAGAAACCUAAUUGGGGACCAAACGAACGCAUUGGUGCGCUCGGUUCGCCGAAACGAAAAGUCUAUGUAAUGAUAUGAGCAAAAAGGGCCUAAUUUGGCUUCGUUUUGCCGCAGGUGACGAGCGAGUCUAUGAAUCCUGAGAAAAAUCAUUGUAGUAUCCUAGUACACCUACGAGGUGGGUGGUGCUAUCCAAACUUGUUGGAAUUCCCCCUAUGUCUAAUGUGUCAUUCAAUUGAGCAUAUAUUUAUGUUGUUGCAUGCAUUAUAGGGUAGAUGUGACGUUAUAUAUGAGAAUGUUGCAUGAUGUGAAUACACGUGCUAUUCGAAAUGUUUGAGAACCUAUUCAACCCUAUAUGUAUGCAUGAGAUAUAAUAUGAGCGCCCCAUGAGAUGAAAGAACAAAGUGACACAAUAAAACAUAGAUUGAGUGGCAUCCGACAAUGUAAAGUAAUGUGACACUAGAGUUAGUGUGUGUGGCAUCAAAGAGAAAUGUGACGCAAAGAACAAUGAUAAUGAUUAGAGACAAGUAAAGAAAAUAAAAGUGGCAUAAAGAACGAGUAAAAUUAAAGAACAAUGAUUGCUAGAGUUAGCAAAAUAAAGUGAUGUAAAGAACACUAGAGUUAGUGUAAAGACAAUGAUUGAACUAUAUAUCCUUAGAGUUAAGGAUCGAUCAUACUUGCUAUGAGUUCCGUGCUCAAGGGCGGUAGCUCCCCCUCGAGCGAUGCUCUCCGGAGUUUUGCAUCACGGGUUAGAGUCAACCCGAGGACGGUCUUAGCGAGAGGCAGCUGAGGGCCCGCGAUGAUGGACUUAAUGUGGGCAAGUUAAUGUGGCAAAACCCCUGGGUUAGCCGUGAGAUUAAAGAACAAAGAACAAAGAUUAAAGAAUAAAGAGUAAGGAAUAAAGAACUUGCAUACUUGCAUGAUUUACGUUGAGCAUAUUUCUUGCUUUAUUGUUCAGGCAUAUUAGCAUCAUGAUCAUAGUUUGGUUCUAUUCUGCUUAUCCUUCCAUUAUGCCCGAGUUAGUCCUAGUGGGAAAGUCGGUGAGAUUGAGGCCGAACCCACUGAAAACUUUGUUGUAGUUCUCACCCCACCAUUUCCACAGAGCCGGGACCGAGCGAGCCGGCGAGCGACCGUGGUAAAGGUAUCGCACCAUAGUCAGAGGCCACCAGAGUUGGGUUAUUUCAUAUUUUGUUAGUAGCUACCCUAUUGUCAUCUUUUGUACAUGAAGAUGUUUAAUGUAAAGUAAAGAAUGUAAAGUUUUAUUUUGAGGCAAUGUGAUGUAAAAAGAAAUGAUGCAAGUGAUGUAACGAAAUGUAAAGACUUUAUGAAUGUACAAGUUGGAUGAAAUGGAUACAUGUAUAUGAUCUAAAGCGAAUCAUAGCACUUGUGUAGAUGUUUAGUUCCUUUCUUUCACUCUUGGCUAUUGCCUACCCUCGUGUAAGC